AUCGGCUUGAUGGUGUAAAGUAGAAGGGAUCAGAGAAGGAAGUAAGUGCAGAAAGAAGAGAAAACAAGUGAUGACAACAGCACGAAUUAGUUCAAGUAGCUUGUAUUUUUCUGCUAAGUUCAAGAGGGAUUUGUCAGCAUAAAUAAAUAUAGAAGUUACCAUAUUUCUAAGUAGCAAAAGAGUUAUGGCCGCUGGCGAGUUUUCCAUUAUGCCCAUGAUUUUUCUUCUUUUGGUUUUCUUGGCUUAGUUCUAACUAUGGUUUUUUAGUUUUCCGUUUGUUUGUAUGAAUGGAAAGAGUUUUGAGAGGUUAAGAGAUGAUGAAGAAGGAAGGACGAAUUGGUGAGGUAAAUGAGUAAUAAGGACAAAUUAAGAGAGAAUUCUCGUUUUGGAUCGUUGAAAAUGUUUAUUAGGAUGAUGGAGAUGUGGGAAACAGUAGUUUCCAGUCGGUGUUUUGCUUUCACGGGACUUUCUGGCUUUCUCGUGAACCCAAUUUUCUUUGAGUUACAUUUUGGGCCAACUCAGCCGGAUACAUCAUCUUAACCCAAUUGUUAUAACUUGAUUACUGAUAAUGUAAUUAUUGAAAAGAUAUCGUUAUGACAUUUGAUAUAUAAGAAAAUAUUAAUAACUAAAAGUAUUAAGAAGAUAACAUUAUAUUUUUAUUAUCAAUGUGAUAUUUUUAAAAUUAUCAUUAUAUAUGAAAAUAAAAAUUUAAUAUAUUUAUCUAUUUUUUUAAUGUAAAUUUUUGUAUAUAAUAUCAUUCAUUCAAUAAAUCUAACUAUUAUUCUUCAAGACACAUCAAUUCUCACCAAGGGAUUGAUAUUUGAUGGUUUCUUAUUAAUUACCAAAUAGAUUAUAGGGGGAAAUUGCAUAAAUAAUUAUACUUUAUCUAAUUUAAUUUACUUUUUCAAUGAGCCUUUAAAUGAUUAUUUUUUUACGUAUUGAAACUUUCUUCUUUAGGAACACUAGAUUUUAAAGUAAUCUUUAAUUGUGUUAUUGUAUACUCAUAUAAUUCAUGAUUGGUUUAUUAUCUUUUUAUUUAGUUGUGUUCACAUAUUGUAUUGUGUUACAUGUUUAUUGAACGUAUUUAUAUAUAAUAUCUUAACACAAUUAAUUAAUUGUAUUAUUUUUGUGUUUAUCUAUAUAACUAUUAAUACUUUAUAUUUACAUGAUACAAUUAAAAUAAACACAAAUUGUUAAAUCUACUCAAUAGUUACCGUUUGUAUGUUUGAAGAAGAAAAAGACGAAGAAGAAAUCAAAAACUCAAAACUAAACAAAAUCUAGUCAAAUUUGAAGCGAGAAUAAGAGAGAAACCAACAACUAAAUGGCCCCUAGGGUUAGAACGGAAGGGGUGUGAGGGAAGGGUUUGGGCUUCGUUCCCCAAAGGAAAUGGGCAAUAAUGGUAAAAUCAGAUUUUUUUACUUUCUCAAUUAAUAAGAAAGUAACAUUACAUUGAUUUCUUUUUUUGGUGUAAUAUGAUGCCAAUGUAAUGUAAUAUUAAAUUGAAUUUUUCUCACAAAACAUUGUAAACUUUAUCAUUUACAUUACAAGAAAUAUUACUUACUUCUUUUGUACCAAACACCCCUUAAAUGUAGCAUUAUUCUAACCUUUCCAUAAUCUUGUCCAAUCACCCUAUACGAUUGAUCCUCCUUUAACAUAAGAAAAGGUAUUGCUUUAAAUAUUCAUGGUCAAAACUUUGAAAUAAUGGACCACUUGCUACCAGAUUAUUACCCAAAUACUAUCUAAAAUUUUGCUUGACCCAUCUGGAAUUGCUAUGAAAAGGUAUUAGCAUAUAGCCAUGCAAAAUUUUUCAAAAAUUAUUUAAAAGAUUAAUAAUUUAUUAUUAUGAAUAUAUGUAUGAAUGCCCAUUAUGUUAUAAACUUCAUCCAUUCUUUAAAGUGAGUGCGACAUCAUUUAAUAAUUAUGGUCAUGGAUGUGAAAGAGCAUAAUAAUUACAAUCAUGGUGAUUACUCUAAUAACUAUUCUAAUAAUGAGAAUACCAUCCAAAGUGGAUGGAUACAUUUAAUUACCAAAAGUGGAUGGACACAUCUAAUCAUUGGAACUAAAUGGAUACAUUUAACCACCAAAAGUGGAUGAAUAUUGAAGAGAUAUAAGAAAAAAAAAUAAAAGUAGACGAAAUAAAAGGAAUAUAAAAAAUAUCUAUCAUCGAUGUGGUAUGAAAGGCCAUUGGUUACAUACCUGUUGUACGUUGAAACAUCUUAUUGAACUUUAUCAAUUAUCUUUGCAAGUUAAAAAGAAAAAAUAUAUAUCAAAACAAGUUUUGUUCAAGAUAAUUUUAACUAUGACCCAAUUGAUAUAAUAUAUCUGGAUGUUACUAAUUUUUUUGUCCAUCGUAAAGAAGGAAUUGAUCAUCUUAUUGGUUAUGUAAAUAUUCAAAAAUAAAAUUUCUUAAUAGUUUGCUAAUAUAUUUUAGUAUAACUUUAUUAUGAAAAUGUUGUUAUAUGUUCUCAUUAUAUUUAAAUGAUAUGUUUUUAUUAUGUGUUUUAAUAAUUAAUUCUAUAUUUAAUGUUCUCUUAUGAUAAUUUGUAAGUUUCUUACUAUAUAUAUUAUUUUAAAAUAUGAAUAUUCAUCUAGUUGGAUCCAAGAUCAACAAUGCAAAUAUAUGUCUAGCAAAUAGCCCUAUAAUGCACAAUAUAUUAAAAAAUAAGAAAUAUUUUUCUCACUUAACAAUGUAAGAAACAAUAUUAAUAUAAUAUCUAGUAGUAUAAGAUUAAUAAAAGCUUCAGAAAAACCAAUAUUUUAAUACUUGGAGGAACAAACUUUAUAAGAAAGGAUGUAUUAUUUUCUAUUAAGUCUCAAAAAAAGUUGUUAAGUUUUAAAGAUAUUUAUUUAAAUAGAUAUCAUAUUGAGACAACAAAUAAAAGAGACAAUUAAUAGCUAUAUAUUACAUCUAUUAUCUUAAAUAAGAAGUGUUUGUUGGAAAAAUUACCCGCUUGGUUCUCUCGAUUGUACUACACAAAUAUUAUAAUGAUUGAAACUCAUGUUAUAAUAAAUUAGAAGUUGACUAAUGAUUUUAACAUUUGGCAUGACCGAUUGGGCCAUCCGAGAUCAAUAAUGAUGCAAAAAAUUAUUGAAAUACAUGUGGUUAUUCAUUGAAAAACUAAAAAAAUUUUCAAUUUAAAGAAUUUUCAUGUGUUACUUGCUCUUAAGGUAAAUUAAUUAUAAGACUAUCACCAACUAAAGUAAGAGCUGAAUCUCCAAUACAUCCACCAUGUGAAAUACAUUUUUGGAAUGUAUUUAGGGUGAUAUAUGUAGACCCAUAUAUCUACCAUGUGAACCAUUUAGAUAUUUUACAAUUUGAAUUGAUACAUCAACUAAAUGGUCACAUGUGUACUUAUUAUCAACUUGCAAUUUAGCAUUUGCAAAAUUACUCGCUCAAAUCCUUCAUUUAUGAACACAAUUUUCUAAUUAUACAAUUAAGACAAUUUGUCUUAAUAAUGCUAGUGAAUUUACAUCUAAAGCUUUUAAUGAAUAUAACAUAUUAGUUGGAAUAACUAUUAAACAACUUGUUGUUUAUAUUCAUGCAUAAAACAGCCAAGUAGAAUUGUUUAUUAAACAUGUCCAACUAAUUGCAAAAUCAUUGUUUAUGAAAACAAACUCUUCAUUUUUACUUAGGGCAUGCCAUUUUGCAUGCGGUAGCACUUAUAGGCAUUUAAACAACGAGUUAUCAUAAAUUCUCUCAUAUACAAUUGGUUUAUGGUUAAAAAUCGAAUAUUUUCCAUCUAAAAAUUUUUGGAUGUGCGAUAUAUGUCCUAAUUACUCCACCACAAUGCACAAAGAUGAGUCCUCAAAGGAAGUUAGGAAUAUAUGUUGGAUAUGAAUUUUCAUCUAUAAUUAAAUAUCUAGAACAAUUAACAAUAGAUUUAUUCAUGACAAAGUUUAUCGAUUUUGAUUUUGAUGAAAUAGUUUUUCCAAGAAAAGAGGGAGAAAUAAGUAGCUAGAAAAUUUUUUUUCUUGGAAUGUUUUAUCAUUAUCUAGUUUUGAUUCUUACACAAAUCAAUGUGAACUUAAUGUUCAAAAGAUAAUACAUUUGUAAAAUAUAGCAAAUCAGUUGCUAGAUGUAUUUACUGACUUAAAGAGAACAACUAAAUCUCAUAUAUCAGCUGCAAAUGCUCUUAGUAGAAUUAAUGUCCUUGUAGGAUAAGGCACACCAGAAGUGCGAAAAACCAACGGUUUCAAAGAUAAAAUCCUCAAAAAAAAAAAAAGAACAAAUAUACAAAAUGGUCAAAAAGAGGAAACAAAAACUCUAGAAGUGACCCCUAACAUAAUUGAUAACAUUUUAGAAGAAAUUCAAGUAUUUGAAAUCAUUAAAAAUAAAGAGAUCUCAAUAAAUUAUGUCAUGAUGAAAAAAAUGAUACCAUAAUGAAAUAAACGUCGAUGAUAUUUUUUCAUAUAAUUUAACGCUCAAUAUUAUGGAAGAAAAUGAGGAUCAUAAACUUACAUCUGUUGAAGAAUGUAGACAUAGAAAUGAUUGGUCAAUGUGAAAAAACGCAAUCCAGGUGGAAUUGACUUCACUUGUAAAUCAUGAAGUUUUUGGACUUAUAGUCCAUACAACAAAUGGUUUAAAACCAGUGAGAUCUAAAUGAAGAUUUGUGUGAAAACGAAAUAGAAAAAUAAAAACAAUUUUGAGACAUAAAGCAUGUCUUGUUGCACAAGGUUUUACCCAAAGAUCUAGUAUUGAUUGUGAAGAGACAUAUUCUGUUGUGUUGGAUACAAUUACAUUUCUUUAUUUAGUUAGUCUAACAAUACAUGAGAAGAUUGAAAUGCAUUCAAUUACUACAACUUAUUUAUAUGAUUUACUCGAUAUUGAUAUCUAUAUGAAAAUUCAGGAUUUAAGUUGGUUGAGGCAUGUACACAAUCUUAAGAAAUUUAUUCAAUCAAAUUAAAUAAAUAUGUAUAUAGAUUAAAGCAAUCUGGACACAUGUGGUAUAAUUACCUUAGUGAAUAUUUGUUUAAAGAAAGCUAUAAAAAUAAUCUUAUAUACCCAUGUGUUUUUAUAAAAAAAUUUGGAUCUGAAUUUGUCAUAAUUGCUAUUUUUGAUGAUGACCUAAACAUUAUUAAAACUCUAGAAAAGUUAUAAAAAAUCGUGGAUUACUUAAAGAAAGAAUUUGAGAUGAAAGAUCUUGAAAAAACAAGUUUUGUUUGAGUCUUUAGAUUGAGCACGUCAUAAAUGGAAUUUUCGUUCAUUAAUCUAAUUAUAUUUUAAAAGUGCUAAAAUGAUUCUAUAUGGACAAUACACACCCAUUGAGUUCACUAAUGUUUGUAAGGUCACUAGAUAUGAAAAAAGACCAUUUCUGACCUCAUGAGGAUGAUGAAAAACUUUUUAAUCCUGAAGUAUUAUAUUUAAGUGCAAUCGAAGCACUAAUAUAUAUUGCUAGCAAUACACAACUUAAUAUAUCAUUUAUUGUAAAUUUAUUAGCAAGAUAUAGUUCUUAUCCAACUUAAAGACAUUGGAAUGAAAACAAACAUAUACUUCAACAUCUCUGAGGAAUAAUAGACAUGCGUUUAUAUUAUUCAAAUGUGUUCAAAUCAGAUUUAAUUGGUUAUGUGAAUACAGGAUAUUUAUUUAUUCCACAUAAUGCUUGAUACUAGACAUGUUAAUUAUUUACAUGUCGAAGUAUGACUAUUUCAUAGUGUUUUAUAAAACAAAUUAUAGUUGCUACUUCUUAUAAUCAUACAGAAAUUUUAACAAUUCAUGAGUUAAGUUAUGAAUGUGUCUGGUUAAGAUUUAUUUCUCAAUAUAUUCGAGAAACGUGUGACUUGUUAAUUAAGAAAGAAAUUCCAACAACAUUAUAUGAAGAUAAUAUAUCGCUUGCAUAGCCCAGUUAAAGGAAGGAUACAUUAAAGGUAAUAAGACAAAAUAUAUUUUGCCAAAAUUCUUCUUCAUUCAUGAUUUUCGAGAAAAAUGUGAUAUUAAUGUUUAACAAAUUUGUUCAAGUGACAAUCUAGUAGAUUUAUUCACCAAAGCCUUUCAUACUAUAACAUUGGAAAAGUUGAUAUAAAAGAUUGGAAUGUAUGCAAUCAUUAGGAUGAGUAAAACACACAUUGCACUUUUUUCUUGAUUAAGGUUUUUAAUGAGUUAGUAUUUCAAAAGCAUAUUCUUGAAAAGAAUUAUUUAAUUUUUUUUUCUUUACCCAGAUUUUUUUCUCAUGAAAUUGUUUCCUAAUAAAGUUUUAAUGAUGCAUAUUCUUAAUACAAUGAACAUUCAAGAGAGAGUUUUUAUGAAUAUAUAUGUGUGAAAAUCCAUUAUGUAAUGACCUAAAAAGUUCAGAUCAAGUCAAACAAUGCAAUAAGCCAAACACAAGAAUCAUAAUCUGAUUUGAACUCUUAAAUUUGAUUCUGUAUAUCUAGAUUUCUAUAUAUAUAUAUAUUAAAUUAGAUUAAGAAUAAAAUUUAGAGGUUAUUAGUUUAUAAAUAAGGCCCUUACUUCAUAUAUAAAUACACACUUAAAUAAGAUCUUUCUUACUUUAUUAAUAUUUUUUUUCAUUUAAAAGAAGUCUAGAGAGGAAAAAAGAUUUAAAUCUUGAAACUUGACAUUAAUUGGAUAAAGGAAGGGAAUGAUAAAUAGAGUUGUCAACGUUGGUCCAAAUUUGAAAAUUUUAUUCGAUUUGUCUCAAUUUAAACUCAUCAUAACUUGAUUUGGUCAAGAAUAUCAAAAUUUAAAAUUCAAAAUGAUUUGAAUAUCCGAAUUGAAUUGACUUGAAAUUGAAAUAAUUUAAACUUAAUUGAUUUUAAGAGAUUAAUUCAAAACAAUCAAAAUUUAAACUAAUGUCACUGUAAAAAUUAAUAACUUGACUUAAAAAAUUAUUCAAAUUCGAGAUAAAACGAAUUUUUUUUUAUCUAAAAUGACACGACUCAAAGUAAUCCAAUUAAUACCUUUCGGACAUCCUGAUACAGCAUAAAUUGCUAUUAUGGUCUUGAAGAAGUCCUUUUUAAGGCAAUAAGAAUGAAAGAAAGACUAAUUGUGUUUUAUUAACCCAAACUUAUAUUCAGACCAAUAACGUAAUUGGAGACCACUGUGAGCUGAGGAAAGAAUAGAUGAAGUUGAAUAAAAAAAGAAUGACUUUAGAGAAAAUUGUGAGAAAUAACCUUCUUCAUAAGCCUAAUUCAAAAAUAUUAUUUUUUUAUAAUUUUAGCUAUUUUUAGUCAAUUUUUAGCAUUACUUGACAAGAAAUACCCUUUAAAUAAUUUUAGACAAAUUAAAAUGGUUUCAGUUUUCUCUAUCCCGCCAUCCAGACAAAAAUUUCAAAAUUAAAUCUCGAUUUCUCUCUCUAAUCAAAUACUGUUUAUCUCACCAUCCAAAGAGCAGAGAUGAUAUGAAGCUUUUUCUUAUUUUGUUUUAUUUUUCUGGAUGGUGAAUCUUGGGGUUCUCAAUGGUGAUGAACAGUGAUUUUGCUCUUCUAUAGUGAUUGCAAGUAGCAUGAUGAAUGUGGUAACUAGAUGCUUUUUGAUGAUGACUUUCUUCGAAAUGUGUGCUGCGAUGGAGAUGCUUGUGUUAAUGAGUUGAAUCGGAUUGGUUAAGAUGAUGGGCUCAAGGAGAAGGAACAGCUAAAACAUGUUUGAUGGAUUUUAUGGUGGUUCAGGAUUUUGUUGUGUUUGGGAUUAGAAUGAUUGUUAAGCAUGUUUGUUGGGAAUUUUGAUUUUUUUAUGAAAUUUUGAGUUUAAAUUGUUCAGGGAGUAUUUUGUAUAGGGAGUAUAUUUUGUUUUUGCAUAAAGGGAGUAAACAAGUGUCACAACCCAAUUUUCAGGCCAUGACCGGUGCAUGGGCCGAAUGGGCAUAGCCCAUUGUGCCCAAGCCAGUUUUUUAUGCAAUCUCGAUUAUCAUUCCCAGCCAUCAUUUCUAAAACCACAUAUUGUAAUUCUCAACUAUAAAUAUUUCAGUAACAUUUUAUAGCAACCUAAUAUUCACAUUUGUAUUAUGUUAAAAUAAUGUCACCCGUUUGCCAACCUAUAUUGGCAUCAGUAAUCAAAUAUACAUAUUUGAUUUUUAAUAUGAAUCUUAGUGGUCUACAUUACUUAUAUGUAUACACAACCAUAAGACUCUUGACUGUCAGCGGAGUGACCUUAAGUGAAGGUGUAGCUACUGAGAUGCCAUAGCACCUACCAAGAAGGCGGGCAUACAUGGACAACUCAAUCUAGGUCCCAACUGCCUCUGAAUCUGAAAACAUAAAGUUUAAAAGAGUGAGUAUAAAACUCAGUGAGUGAACAUAAGAAGGGAACAAGCAACCGAUACGGAAAGAUUUUGAAAACAUGAUGCACUUUUGUUAAAAACAAUGCAAUUUAGUUUAAUUUCUUGUAAAAUCCCAUAAUUCAACCUUUGAUUAUUAAAUCCCUUAGUGUUGAAAGAUCCAUGACAAACCAUGAAGUUGAAAAGAAUGAAAGUUUCAGCAAAUGUCCAAGCAAGACAAGCAAAACAAAGGGUUUCUCGUUGCAUCAAAAAGGCAUUCUAGGUUCACAUAUAUUUUGGUCUUUCAAGCAUCGCUUCCACUACAUAAGUCCAAUUGAUAUGAUUUUUGAGUCAUUAGAAAGCUAAGAGGUUGGGCUACAAUUUUGAUGUUUACCACUUUGCCUAGUUUUGAUCGAAAAGUGGUCAAAAUUGUUGUCAAAGUGAUAGCACUGCACAACAAUUUCAAAACCACUCGAGAAUUUCUCGCUGCAGCGAGAAUCCAUAUUCGCUGCAACGAAAUUCCUUGCUGCAAUGAAAUUCAGAGCAUGGAUUAAGGUUGCCUACCCGAGAGUUUCUCGCUGCAGUGAAAAUGAAUCUCGCUGUAGUAAGAAAUAAAUCAAUAUAGUUGAAGAGGUAUUGUUACAUCAAAAAGUCAUUUUCUUGUUAAAAUGAAAAGCAAUUUGGGAGCAAUUAACAAUGCCAACAUACAAUACAUUCACAAAUAUUUUCAUAAACUUUCUAUAAUAUAUAUAUAUAUAUAUAUAUAUAUAUAUAUAUAAGUUAUAGNNNNNNNNNNNNNNNNNNNNNNNNNNNNNNNNNNNNNNNNNNNNNNNNNNNNNNNNNNNNNNNNNNNNNNNNNNNNNNNNNNNNNNNNNNNNNNNNNNNNNNNNNNNAUAUAUAUAUAUAUAUAUAUAUUAUAUAAAGUUUAUGAAAAUACUCAGCUCAUGUGCACUCCCUACUCGCACAUAACCGGGUCAUCAUCAGCUCAUGUGCACUCCCACACCGCACAUAGCUAGGUCAUCAUCAGCUCAUGUGCACUCCCACACCGCACAUAACUGGGUCAUUAUUAUCACACAAAAGGAGCAUCCAAAGCAUAAUAUACAUAUCAACAUCAGCUCAUGUACACUCCCACACAACACAUAGCUAGGUCAUUAUUAUCACACGAAAAAAGCAUUCAAGGCAUAAUAUACAUAUCAAUAUAAUGUGAUAACGCAUUAACUAUUCAUAUUGCAUAUUUCACAAGAUAGAAACAUUUCAUCAAAGCUUGUUCCCCAAGUAUAUUUUUUAAAGCAAAAACAAAUGAAACUUUCAAAUGAUUUAUUUAAACAUGUUGGCAUUUCCCAAAACAUUUUGAAAUGCAAGUUCACUCACCUUACGGUAGCAGGAUAUUACAUCGCUAUUUGUUCAGAGGCAUAUCUAGCUAUUCCUACUUGCCAGUCACUCGUUAUUUCCCUCGGCACACCACCACAGUACACUACCUUUACUGUUGCACUUCCUAGCAACAAUCCCAAUUCAAUAUCUUGAGCGUACAUCAUUUAUACUUCCCUUUUUCAUUCAAUCACGAAUCCUUAUUCAACUUAACUUAUCUUGACACAAUUUUUACCAAAGUUGCUUUUAUCCCUUGCUUGCGUAAUUCUUUAAAUUAUGAUUACCGGCAACUUGUUUAUGACUUUAACACAUAUAUUAAUCUUUUCUCAAGAUAUUUAUCAAGUUCAACCAUCCUUUCCAUAACAACCACAAUUUCUCAUAAUAUGCCACUUAAAAUGUCAACUACACAACAAUACCCAUUUUCUCAAGAUUCCUCUAUUACACUUAAAACAUCAUUUGUCUUUAGCUUUAUGGUUACUUGACCAAUACUUGAACUCCAAUAUUCCUUCAAAACAUAAAUCAUCAAGCUGCCAAAAUGAUUCACACAUUAUUUUUCCAAAGAUUUAACCAACCAUGAGCUUAAAACACAAAAAUCCUUACCUUAGCUUACUUAAAUUACAAAACCAAGCUUUUUUUCCUAUAUUUCUUUUUCUUUCUUCUUUUCCUAGGUUUUAGAUGUGCUGGAAAUUGAGGUUAGAAGCUGCAGGUUUAGUGCCCAAGAAGUUUGAAGAAGAAAGAAGUGAGAAAAGAAAGGAAAUGAAAAGAAACAAGGGAAAUCACAUAAAAAAAUUUGAUUUUCAUGAACUUGAAAUGAAAAUGGCAUUGGAAGCUUCAAGAAGAAGAUGAAAAUAUCUUGCUGGAGGAGAUAAGGAUGGUAAUGGCUGAUAAAGAUGAGAGUCAAAGCUUCCUUUGGAAGCUUUGACCAAACUUUUCGUAAAAUUAUCGUUUUACCUUCCAAGUUUCUUCCCUUUUCAAUUUAGUCCUCCCAACACUCUUUUAACUCCAAUUUCUUUUUAUUAUCUUCUUUUACAUAUGUACAAACGAAAUAUAAAGCUUAUACUUCAACGCGGCGUUUUCAUAAUAUUUAAAAUAUAUUUUUUCACACAUUAGUUUUAUUUAAUAAUGAAUGGGCCCCACUAGCUUCAUUUUUCUCCAAAAUUUUCUCGUUCUUCCUCUCCCCCACUUAGAUUAACCAUAUACUCUUUCUUCAUGAAAAAUUUCGAUACUGAAUAAAAUAUUAAUAUUUUAAUAUUAUUUUAUUAAUAAAAUAUUAUUUAUUCUAAAAUUUUUUACUUGUCUCUUUGGUACCCAAAGUACCUUAUUAUGCCUCAAUUCACUUCCAGAUCACUUUUUAUCUCACAAAUUCUUCUUCGAUAAAAAUAUUAUUAUUUUAUUAUUAUUCCCUUGCGUGCGAAAUAAUUUAUCUUAAAAUACUCUUUUCACAUUUUCUCACCUUUAAACAUUAUAAUUAACCUCAUUUCGUAUCCGAUAAACUUCAUUAGCCACCAUGUCAAAGUACGAGGUAUUACAGUCUCCUCAACUUAAAUAGAAUUCGUCCUCGAAUUCUCCUCAACGUCGAGUUGUUAAUCUCACUCAAUGAUCAUAUUCCAUUUCCUUCUUUGUAGGGAAUUUUGAUUUUUGCACUUCACUAUCUUCCAUUCGACUAGAGCACUUUACAAGGUCAAGGUACGUAACUUAUAUCUAUUAUCCUCUGUGAGUCAGAACCACGGUACCUUUCACUAUUGUUCUUUCUUAUCAUUAAGAUCCCAAGUAUGCCUUUAAUUCCAUCACUAACCUCAAACAUAUCUUUAUUUCUAUUCUUGUCAAACCUCUAGUCAUUCAUUCACCUUGUUUACCUCCAAUUCGACUAGAAUAUCUCACUUAUGUCUAUUAUCAUCUUUUAUUAAAUUUGAGCCGAAACUCCAUCUUAAUCAUACUGAUUUCGAUCAUGGUUUAUACUUGCUUACGUAUACCUAAUCACCAUCUUAUUACUUCCUUCCUUAUCAAACUUCUCGAUAUUCUUUCAUUCCUCUUAUCCCCCUACACUAUUAUGUAGCUUAUAAACAUGCCAUAUUCAUUCCUGUACGUAUCCUCAACGUUGGGGGAGGUUAAUGGCUUCAAUUAUUCCCACAUACUACAUGUUUACCUUACAUUUAUAUAGCUUCAAUCUUCUUAAUCAUAUUAGUCAAUCUUGUAUGACUUAACCACACUAUAGAUUACAUUUCCUUGACUAUUUCCCAUAUUUUCUUAUGUCAACAUAGCUCAACUUUUGCUAGGAUUUCUUAUCGUUGUACCAUCUAUACAACUAAUCAAAUGUAUUGAGUUCAAAUCUCAAACCACUAAGAACAAUUCUUCACUUUAGUUGGGCACAUUAUCAGCCCCACACAUGUGAAUGUACACGCACAUUUAAAUGUCAACAUUCUCACGUCUAAUGUAUGAUCAUUAGGUAUAAUCAAUUUCAUAUUACCUUUUUUAUAUGUUUAAAUCACCAUUCCACUUGCGUCUACCACAAGUCAUCCCUUACGUAAUCCAUACGAAUUCUCAUUAUGCCUAUGCAUAACUUCACAUCAUUUACAUGCCUAUAUUCCUUUCUUAUCAUUUCCAAUUAUAUGUUUAAGUAUCAUUUUACUAUAUAUAUCCUUGCAUCAUAAUGUCAUUAAUCACAUCUCAUUAGCUAAAUGUCAUUUUCAUUAAAUUGCAAUUCAAUAUUCGUAUAUGCUUUAUAAUCUCGUUGAUCUUUGAAAGGUUUAUCUUUAUUGGAUCAUUGCAUCUUCUGCAAUGCCACAAUCCCUAAAAGUCAUCCUUAUUUCUCAAUUAUUCUUCAUGCCUCUAACAUAUAUAUAUAUAUAUAUUAUAUCCUUGUUGCAUUUCGACUUUAAUGAGUCAUUGAAAACUUAGACUCAUUUGAAUUGUGCAUGCCUCAAGCAUUUUCGAAUUCCAAUUUUCAUACUACAUUAGGAAGUUUUCAUUAUCGGACUUCAUUAUCCAGAUUAUCUUUAAUCAUCCUUUGUUCUAUUCUUCCAUACUAAUGUGACAUCAUUCUCCCUGGACCAAUCUACAGUUUGUACUUGAAACUACAAGACUUGAAACAAGGUCCUCCUCAAGUACUUUUCAAUGUCAAUAGGAAUAUCACUUUCAACUUAUGGCUUCCUUUUUAUAACCACAUAACUUAAUGCUUGCUUUCACAAGAUCCAUAGCAGAACUCCUAUUGAGUAUUUCCUUAGGGGUACCUAUCUUAAACUUAUGUCUCACCGCAUGUGAUCACUUAACUCGUGACUUAGCCGUUAGGCUCCUCAACAAGUUUAAAAAAUCCCACAUUUUAUACUUGUUGUGUAUGAUUGGUAAUUCCUUCUCAAAGAUGUUUGUGCAUUCUUGAAACACUUAGUCUCGUAUUUGCUCUUUAACAUCCCGAGCAUAUCAUUCUAUAAACAUGCACUUAUUCUUCAAGAUAUAUAAAUACAUACUCGUCUAUCUGAUCCCCAAUUUAUCUUCAUAGGUUUCUAGUGUGCCACACAAUUGGCCUUAUGUUGUUACUAACCUUUUUCAUUUAAUUGACUCAAGACAAGAAUUGCAAAUUCUCAUAAUGAUAUUCUAGAUAAACUCAUUUGUUAUACCACCCUUGUAAUCCUUCAUUCAUGCUUUCAUCACUUGGUAUUGACAUCCCUUAUCCAUAUCUUAUAUAUUCAUCUAACUUUUCACUCACUUUUCCUUAGCCUUUAACAAGGCUUGAUCUUUUGUCCUCUUUAUUUCUUAGAGUUUGACUUUAGUCAACAUAUUAUUCAUCUUAAUGCUUCACAUGGUAAUUUAUCUCAAUGUAGCCGUCUCGAGAAGUCUUUAACUUUUCUCUUACUCACAUGCCAAUAUAUAAGGCAAUAAAGAAACUUUUUAAUUCACUCCUAUAAACACUUUCCCAACGCUCUUAAAACUUAAAUUAAUAAAGCUCAACAUCAAGACCAAUGAUCGUACUUCAACUUGUGAGUUUUAUCUUCAUGCCACUCACAACUUGCUCUUGCCUUCUAGCCAUAAGGAGUUCUUAAUGCGAUAGCGUUGGCAGUCAGCAUUGUGACAUUGCAGCUACUGAAAUUUACUUUAUUAAAUGGAUUCUGCCACAUUUAAGGCUACGACAUUAAUCAUUCUCAACCAUGUGGCUUCCUUUUGAGUCUAUAGCACAAUUAGCAAAACUAACUUUUUAUCACAAGUAUGCAAACAUUGAUUGCAACAUAUCUAUUUCACCUUUUGUGGUAUGCCAAAAUUGUCCUUUAGGCAUAUUUCACUACUAACAUUCAUAUACCUUUACCAUGACAUUUAGUGCAAAUUUUGUUUAAGCAAUGAUCUCUAAUUAACUCUUAGGUAUAUAAAUAUCAAAGUAUACAUCACUUCGCGUUACAAUCUUAACCUUACUCAUCAAUCCUUAACCGUUAACAUUGGUAAGGUGGACAACUCACUUAAUUAUUGCAUCUUGCCUUUGCGGCCAUAAGAUCCAAAUUCGUAAACUUAGGAUGGAGAAGCUCCCUCUUCGAGCUUAUCUAAUAAUCAACAAUUUCUAAAUCUUUUACCUUUAGAGAAAUCAAAUUCAAGACUAAUCAUUUACAUCAUAGGUUGCAUACUGAACCAUAUAAACUUUUUAUUUGAUCUCUAAAGCAACUUGUAUACUAAGCUCAAACAUAGAACUCCAUAUGACAUUUAAACUAAAAUCAACAUUUCUAAGUCAUUUAACUUCAAGCUACCAAAUCCACAACUAAUCCUUUAAUCCUUUGGCUUCACCCUAAGCAUAGCAAAAUUCAAGUUCAUCCUUAAGGCAAAUUUGUUUACUAGGUUUUUUCUUGAUGACCACACAUCAUUUAUAACAAUCACUAGCCAUUCUAGUCAAAGUACGCCCCUAUUACCAUUACCUGAUGUGCUCUUUUAUAUUGAUCUCAAAUACAAUUUAUAGUCAUAUAACUUUCUUCCCAUUGACAACCAUGGGUUUAAAUUAUAACUCCACCAAAUGAAUAAACUAUUACGGACCUAUCAGUCCAGCGCCACCUUCCUCCAUCCUUAGUCGGAGGGAUAUAUCAUUACAUUAAUCUUUCAUUAAGAGCAUUUACUUAAAAUUCUUCCAACAACAGCUUGUGUCUUGGGUGGCAUCUCAAACCCAAGCAACGACACUUCUUAUGACCUUUAUGUAACGCUAAUGAAAAGGGUAGGGUACUAAAAAUAAGAGUUCGUAUAGCCUAUUGUCUAUGACUUGUGUUGUAGUCACAAACCAUAAACAAGACUCUACAUUAACUCCGACAACUCCGCUGACUGAUAAGAGAAUCCCUAGGACUCAACUAAACUUAGACCUCAGAUACCACCUUUAUCAUAGCCCAAAUUUUGGGCCGUGACCGGUGCAUGGGCCUAACGGGCAUAGCCUAUUAAGCCCAAGCAAGCCUUUUUAUGCAAUCCCGAUCAUCAUUCCCAGCCAUCAUUUCUAAAACCACAUAUUGUAAUUCUUAACUAUAAAUAUUUCAGUAACAUUUUACAGCAACCCAAUAUUCACAUUUGUAUUAUGUUAACAUAAUAUCACCCAUUUGCCAACCUAUAAUGGCAUCAGUAAUCAAAUAUACAUAUUUUAUUUUUAACAUGAAUCUUAGUGGUCUGCAUUACUUAUACGUAUACACAAGUAUAAGACUCUUGACCGUCAGCGGAGUGACCUUGGGUGAAGGUAUAGCUAUUGAGAUGCCAUAGUACCUACCAAGAAGGUGGGCAUACAUGGACAACUCAAUCUAGGUCCCAACUACCUCCGAAUCUGAAAACAUGAAGUUUAAAAGAGUGAGUAUAAAACUUAGUGAGUGAACAUAAAAAGGGAACAAGCAACCGAUACGGAAAGACUUUGAAAACAUGAUGCACUUUUGUUACAAACAAUACAAUUUAGUUUAAUUUCUUGUAAAACCCCAAAAUUCAACCUUUGAUUAUUAAAUCCCUUAGUGUUGAAAGAUCCAUGAUAAACCAUGAAGUUUAAAAGAAUGAAAGUUUCAGCAAAUGUCCAAGCAAGACAAGCAAAACAAAGGGUUUCUCGUUGCAGCGAAAAGGCAUUCUUGGUUUGCAUAUGUUUUGGUCUUUUAAGCAUAUCUUCCACUACAAAAGUCCAAUUGACAUGAGUUUUUAGUCAUUAGAAAGCUAAGAGGCUGGGCUACAACUUUGAUGUUUACUACUUUGCCUAGUUCUGAUCGGAAAGUGGUCAAAAUUGUUGUCAAAUUAAUAGCAUUGCACCACAAUUUUGGAACCACCCGAGAGUUCAUGGCUGCAAUGAGAAUCCAUUUUCGCUGCAGCGAAAUUCCUUGCUGCAGUGAGAAUCCAUUCUUGCUGCAAUGAAAUUCGGAGCAUGGAUUAAGGUUGCCUACCCGAGAGUUUCUCGUUGCAGCGAGAAACAGAGCAAUUUAGUUGAAGGGGUCUUGUUACAUUAAAAAGUCAUUUUCUUGCUGAAAUAAAAAGCAAUUUGGGAGCAAUUAAUAAUGCCAACAUACAACACAUUCACAAAUAUUUUCAUAAACUUUCUAUAACAUAUAUAUAUAUAUACAUACAUACAUCAUCAUGCAUGCCAUCCCACCACACUAAGCUCAUGUGCACUCCCUACUCGCACAUAGCCGAGUCAUCAUCAGCUCAUGUGCACUCCCACACCGCACAUAACUGGGUCAUUAUUAUCACACAAAAGGAGCAUCCAAAGCAUAAUAUACAAAUCAUCAUUAGCUCAUGUGCACUCCUACACCGCACAUAGCUGGGUCAUUAUUAUCACACAAAAUGAGCAUUCAAAGCAUAAUAUACAUAUCAAUAUAAUGUGAUAACGCAUGAACUAUUCAUAUUGCACAUUUCACAAGAUAAAAACAUUUCAUCAAAGCUUGUUCCCCAAGUAUAUUUUUUAAAGCAAAAAGAAAUGAAACUUUCAAAUGAUUUAUUUAAACAUGUAGGCACUUCCCAAAACAUUUUGAAAAGGAAGUUCACUCACCUUACGAUAGCGGGAUAUUACAUCGCUAUUUGUUCGGAGGCAUAUCUAACUAUUCCUACUUGUCGGUCGCUCGUUAUUUUUCCCUGCACACCACCACAGUAUGCUACCUUUAUUGUUGCACUUCCUAGCAACAAUCCCAAUUCAAUAUCUUUAGCGUACAUCAUUUAUACUUCCCUUUUUCAUUCAAUCACGAAUCCUUAUUCAACUUAACUUAUCUUGACACAAUUUUUACCAAAGUUGCUUUUAUCCCUUGUUUGCGUAAUUCUUUAAAUUAUGAUUACAGACAGCUUGCUUAUGACUCUAACACAUAUAUUAAUCUUUUCUAAGGAUAUUUAUCAAGUUCAACCAUCCUUUUCACAACAACCACAAUUUCUCACAAUAUGCCACUUAAAAUGUCAACUACACAACAAUACCCAUUUUCCCAAGAUUCCUUAACUACAUUUAAAACAUCAUUUGUCUUUACCUUUAUGGUUGCUUGACCCGUACUUGAACUCCAAUAUUCCUUCAAAACAUUAAUCAUCAAGCUGCCAAAAUGAUUCACACAUUAUUUCUCCAAAGAUUUAACCAACCAUAAGCUUAAAACACAAAAAUCCUUACCUUAGCUUGCUUGAAUUACAAAACCAAGCUUUUCUUCCUUUCUUUCUUUUUCUUUCUUCUUCUCCUAGGGUUUAGAUGUGCUAGAAAUUGGGGUUAGAAGCUGCAGGUUUAGUGCCCAAGAAGUUUGGAGAAGAAAGAAGUAAGAAAAGAAAGGAAAUGAAAUGAAAAUAAACAAGGAAAAUCACAUGAAAAAAUUUGAUUUUCAUGAACUUGAAAUGAAAAUGGCGUUGGAAGUUUUAGGAAAAAGAUGAAAAUAUCUUACUGGAGGAGAUAAGGACGGUCAUGGCUGAUAAAAAUGAGAGUCAAAGCUUCAUUUGAAAGCUUUGACCAAACUUUACAUAAAAUUACUAUUUUACCCUCCAAGUUUUUUCCCUUUUUACUUUAGUCUUCCCAACACUCUUUUAACUCCAAUUUUCUUCUAUUAUCUUCUUUUACACAUGUACAAAUGAAAUAUAAAGCUUGUACUCUAACGCGGCGUCUCCAUAAUAUUUAAAAUAUAUUUUUUUCUCGCAUUAGUUUUAUUUAAUAACGCGUGAGCCCCACUAGCUUCAUUUUUCUCUGAAAUUUCUUCGUUCUUCCUCUCCCCCACUUAGAUUAAUCGUAUACUCCUUCUUCAUGAAAAUUUUAGACACUGAAUAAAAUAUUAAUAUUUUAAUAUUAUUUUAUUAAUAAAAUAUUAUUUUAUUUCAAAAUUUUCCACUUGUCUCCUUGGUACCCAAAAUACCUUAUUAUGCCUCAAUUCACUUCCAAAUCACUUUUUAUCUCACAAAUUCUUUCUCGAUAAAAAUAUUAUUAUUUUAUUAUUAUUUUCUCGCAUGCGAAAUAUUUUAUCUUAAAAUACUCUUUUCACCUUUCCUCACCUUUAAACAUUAUAAUUAAUCUCAUUUGACAUCAGAUAAGUUUCAUUAGCCACCAUAUCAAAGUACGGGAUAUUAAAGCAAAGCCUUUCCGAUAAGGAUAUAUUUUGUCUUGCUUUGGAGGGUUAUGGAGUUUUAUAACCUAUCUUUUAUGAAAUGCACAAUUUCAUGGCUUAGCAAAAAAAAUGUGUUUUAGGUUCUUGAGUUUAUUAAUUUAUUCAUAGAACUCCAAAGUUGAAGAGUUGAAAUUGAUUAGAUUGAUUUUUAAGUAUUACGAGACUAGUUUUUAAGUAUUGCGUGACUUAAUCACUACGUGACUAGUUUUUAGACACUACGUGACUAGUUUUUAGACAUUACGUGAUUAGUUUUAGGCAUUGCGUGACUGGUUUUUAAAUAUAGCAUGACUGAUUUUUAAGUAAUGCCUAAGUCACACAAUACCUUACUAACUAGACAUGCAAUGCCUUACUAACAAGUCAAGCAAUGCCUAUCAACUAGUCACACAAUGCCAUAUCAACCAAUCACGCAAUGCCCAAAGUCAAUCACGCAAUACCUAAAAAUUAGUCAUGCAAUGCCUAAAGUCAGUCACGUAAUGUUCAAAGUCAGUCACGCAAUGUCUAAAAACCACUAAAACUACUGAAUUUCAUUUAACAAUAUCAAUAACUUCAAACGAUGUACCAUAUUUCAUUUAACAAUAUAAUUAAUGAAUAUGUCUAUUUGACAAAAAUACUCAAAAUAUUCAAAGGUUUUUCUUCAUAUAUCAAAAAUCACUACAAAAUGCUUAAAAAUGCUCAAAACGCUCAAAGGCUUUCUUCGUGCAUCAAAAACUACUACAAAAUGCUCAAAAUGCUUAAAUGUUUUUCUUUCGGGUAAUGAAUACUCCAAAGCUAAAUAGUUUGGCAAAGAAAGCUCAAAGAAUAUGAGUUGAUUUGAGGCGUAGACCUAAAUAUACUUGACUUGUUAAUAGGUCUCAGGUUGAGACGUGAAGCUAAAUAAGUGGAUCGAUUUCAUUAAGGGUAAUUUUAUCUAAAUUUUAAUUUUUUUAUUAAAAAUAGUUAAAAUUAGGGAGAAGUCUAUUGUCAAAAACACCUUAUACAUAGAGCUUAUUUUAAAAAAGAACCCAUGAUUUUAAGUGCUUGAUGAACUCCUUGCUUUCCAUGUUAACAGCAUGCCCUGCAUUCUUUAUCACUACAAGCUCUGCGCCGUCCCUGGUAUGUAGGGGCGGAGGGUAAGCCAACAAUGGGGGGGCCGUGGCCCCUUCAAAAUUUUUAAAAAUAUUUAUUUUAUAUAUAUUUUUUAUCAAUGGUCCCCUCAAAAUUUUUAAAAAUAUUUAUUUUAUAUAUAUUUUUUAUCAAUGGUACCCUCAAAAUNCUCCAAAAUUUUUUAAAUUUUUUUAUUUAUUAUAUAUUAUUAGUAGCCCAAUCAAAAUAAAUUUUUUUAUUUAAUAAAUAUAUAAUAAAUAAAAAAAUCAGAUAACCUCACAAACUUAACUUUAUCCUAAUUUAAAUUUCUCUACACCUUCUUUUCUUUUCUUUUCUCUUCUCUUUUGUGUCUUUUUACUUUUAUUUUUCUUUUCUUGUAACUCACCAUUAAAACAUACCCUAUUCUUCAAAAGAGAUUUAUGAGCUUGUGAGUUUGGACAAGGAAAGACAAAGAUCACCCACCAUCAUUAUGUAAAAUUAAGAAGAGGUAAAGUUUUUUUUUUUUUUUUUUUUUUUUAUUUUUUUUUAUUUAUAUUAUUUAACUAUUAUGUGAAAUCUUGUAUUUCGUAUUUAAUUAUUUAUAUUUUAUUCAUUAUAGUUUUAUGUUUUUUUUUUUAAGUUUAAAUAUAAAUAUAAUUAUUUUUAGCAAUGAAAAUUAUGAAAACAAGAUUCCGGAACAAAAUGGAUGAUGAGUUUCUUGUAGAUAAUUUAGUUGUUUAUAUUAAGAAAGACAUUGCUAGUCUUUUCACUACACAGUCAAUAAUUGAUAAAUUUGAAUUUAAGAAACAUCGUCGAACACAACUUUCUUAGAUGACUAUUAUAAGUUUUUUUUUAUUUUUUUAUUUACAUGUUAUAUAAAAUUAUUAUCUAUUAUGAAUCUUUUGAUCGUUAGUUAAAUUCAACAUAUUAUUUUUAAAAAUUUCUAACUUUUAUUUUUUUUUGUCUUUGACCCCCUAACAAAAAUUGGUUAGCUCCGCCCCUGCUAAUAUGCCUUGGCCACACAAUUCAACAUACAAAUUUUAUACUUGCACAAAAAGGACAAAUCGCAAUAUAAUACAUAAUUAAUUUCAGAUUGUUCCACUAACCUUUUUAAUCCGUGGCCUAGUUCCAUAGGGAAUAUCAGAUCUUUUUCUCCCCAGAUUAUUAAUGUGCGCUAUAAGAAAACAACUUAAAUGAACAAAAGAACAAAUCGAAAAUGAUAACACCGUCUAGGAAUUAAUGAUGUGGUGGGCAAGAUAUAAAAAGAAGAGCUGAAACCUGUGUCAUCUUAGGAAGAUUAGAGAAUUUUCUAUCUUUUAGUAUUGCCCGGAUCAACUCUCUUUUCUCUUCAAGAUAAUCCGUACACAUCACCUAGACGAGCAAGAGCGUAAAAAACAAUGAAAAUGCCAAAUUUUAAUUUGUAUCAGUGUUAAUUUCAAUUGCUUUAACAUAUCCAGGAGAUAUAAAAAGAUUGAAUUUGUUCUGAUCAUUUCCACAUUAGCCUAAUGGUAAGGGGACCACAUUUUCUAUAAGGCUUGCCACUCUAUAUUUCAUACUUGUUCUGGGGGUAACAAUUAUAAACAAGCAUUCGGCUCAUCAGAUUGAUCUUUUUCUUGCUAGAACCUGAACCAAACACAUAUCCAUAUAGGGACAAGUUAUUGGGAAAGUGAAUUUUACAUCAAUGAAAUCUGUGAGAAAAUAACUUGGCACCCACCUGCCUGCAGGCUUUACGAAGGAAAACCUCAUUAAUUCCCUCAAUUUCUCUGGCGUCUGAGGCAACAAAAUGCUCAGAGCCUCAUCCAAAUCUGCAACAUUAAAGAUACCCUCCUCCAAGCAAACACCAGCGCAGCAUAGGACCAACUUCUCCAUUUUUCUGGAAACUGCGCUGCCAUACUAUACCCCACAAACCCACCAUAGCUUAUACCCACCAGGCUCAUUCUUGGCACACCAUGUUCGUCCAUCAUCCUCAUCACGCAUUGAGCCUGGAACGACUCGGCCCGGUUGGCUCUGGUUGUGUAGGAUUCACCGAAGAAGACGAGUUCUGUACAUAGACAUUAAAUCGGGAUGUGAAGUGGCGAAGAUGCUCUCCAUAUUGCCACAUUGCAUUGGCACCAAAGCCAUGGACGAGAAGAAGAUUGGGCCUUGAUUUGUUUUGGAUUUUUGGGACCCAACAGUGCAUGACAGUGCCUUCGCCAAGAUCAGUCCUAACCGACCGAAGUCCAGCAUUGGCAAGGGAAUGGCGAUAGAACCAAUCGCGUGAUGCGGUAAAGCUGAAGCAUUUUGACAUCUUAAACUGAUGCAUUGUAAUCUCUCUAAUUCGGCCAGGAUUUCGAAUUCAGGUUUUGAGGUAUUUCAGUUCAAUGAUUUUGGUGAAGAUGAAUAAUCAUUUGGAUGUUGUCAAAUGUCAAUUUGUCAUCUAGAUCAGAUUCACUCGGGGAUUAUAAUUUCAACAUCAUUGAAAAGCUAAGGAAAAAGAAGAAAAUCUGUUGAAUGUGUUACUGUUUUUUUGGCGAAAGUCCGGAGUCGAGACGUAAACUUAAAAGCAAGCGGGAAUGUCGCAUGUUCAUAAGCAACCGAGAGAAAGAUUGGUUAUGCUAAAACCGAAAUGGUUAGGAAAUUUUGCCACAAAUUAAAAGGGAUCAUUUUGGUUGCUCGUCUGAGGGUCCAGGUAAAAGGAAACUCCUUAUAACUUAUCAGGAGGAUACUUCUAAAAGUUUUCCUUUUUUGCAAAGAUAAUGAGUGGAGAGAACUGUAUGUAAUUGGAUGCUCCCUUUCCUGUAUGGAGAAAGGACUUUUUGAUGGUCAGGAUUAAAGCUGAUGCCCAAAUUUUGGUACACAAUUCUGUAUAUAGACCAAUAGGUACCAUUGUCCUUUAACAUUGAAUUCCACUUUGGAUAAUUUUGGGCAUAGAUCAAUUUACUAGUGAUGUGUCCUUCAAUUACCGUGAACCGGCGAUGACAGAGUAUACAGGUGUAGAUACUUGAUUUUGGUUAAUAUUGUUACUCUAAAGAAUUAUGUUACAACAUAAUAUUGUACAGAGAAUAACCUGAACAAGUGAAGUGCUACUUCACGCAAAAUAAUUAAAACAAGUGAAGCGCUACUUCACGCAAAACAACUAGAACAAGUGGAGUACUACUUAAAGCAAAACAAUUAGAAUAAGUAAAGCACUACUCCAUAUGGAACAACUAAUAUAAGUAGAAUAGUUACUUCGAAUAGAAUACCACUUCACUCGAGUAACAGUGAAAGUAACUUGAAAUAAGUGGCAGGGUUCAUGGGUUACUUUCAUCUUGGGAUGUUCCGGAGAGUUUGGCUUGGUGGCUCAGAUAUGGAGGUAAUUAAGAGGUCUUCCUCCUAACCGUUUCCUGAAGUACAAGUGUCUCACCCUUUUACCUUGUUCUCGUACACCUAUUCAUGUAUAGCUUCUCUUGUACCUAUUCUCGUAUAGCUCCUUCUCUUGUACCUAUUCUCGUAUAUCUCUUUUCUAUUACCUUUUAUUUGAGAAUAAGUUUUAUUACAUCUAAUUACAGUAACGGUUACUCACAUUUAUGUUCUUCAUAAUAAUGUCAUUUAUUAGGCGCAUUAAAUCCUAUUCUUGAGUAACCGCCACUUUUAGCACUAUAUAUAGAGCCUCACAAUUCAUUUAGAGGGGCUCUUCCCCCUAGAGCUAACACAUUCUCAACUUGAGAGCUUUUCUCUCUAAAUUCUGUCUCUAAUUCUUUUCUACUCUUUAGUUCUUUUCUUACUUUAUUCUAUCUGUCACUACACUCAGUACUUCAGGAACUGCUCCAAUCUUCCUCUCUGUCGCCUCCGGCGCAUCAUUUUCCUUAUUUGCAACGCUUCCUCUCCCCAUCACAAGAACCCCCUUUACAUUUUGGCGACUCCACUGGGGAGGAGUGAUUACAUUAAGUAAAAGCUUACUAGAAAAACUUUGCGUUAUUGGAAGAAAUAAACAGUUCCUUUAGUAACCAAGAUGCAUCUAUUCUCACCUACAUCCAAAAGCUGAUGAAAAUGAUUGAGGCUUCUUGAGAGAGAAUGCAAAUGUUAGAAGUCAACAAUAAGCGGAUGUUGGAGACCAUAUCUCAACUUGCAUCCUUCACUUCCACCAUUUUUCAAGCUCAAUCUGUACACUUUAAUGAGAGUGCACCUGACGAAGUCAUUCCUCUAGUUACAAACACUAAGGGGAAUGAAGGAAAUGGAGAAACUGCAAUUGAUGUGGAUGUUUAGGGAGGAGUUCUACUUCUCUACUCAAGAGAAGGUUAAUCUCCUUGAUUUGGGAACAAAAUAUCAAAAGUCCAGAGAAGACCUCGUGGAAUACAUCUAACACUUUAGAGAAAGGGUGUUGGAUAUACAAGAAUCUUAUGAUGAGAAGGAGUUGGUGACGAUUUGCAUUUAAAAAAAAAAAUGUUUGACGAGUGUAGGCUACACUAGCAGAAUUUACCUCUUCCAGCUUUUGCUACCUUAAUGGAAAUGGCACGAAGAAUCAAUAAUACGGUUCUCAAACAAAAUAGAGCUACUCGCUUCGAUAGAAAGAAUACUCCAACAGUGAAUGCAAUUUAAGGAAAAGGUAGAGAAAGAAGAGAUUCUUUUUAAAAGGGAAUAUUCCAUAAGAAAAUGCAAGCAGAAGAGUUGUUGAUUGAGAACAACAAGGUCCAAAACAACCCGCUUCCUGCUCAUGUAUGAUAUUUCUAUGACUUUAACUCUUCAUCGCUUUAUGAAUUGUAAUUUGACAUUAAAAAAAAUUCAUAUUCAGCUGCUAGCUUUAUCGCUUAUAUUUUGGUUGUAAUUGUAUUAUACUAUUAGUUGCCAGCUUUAGCACUUAUUCUUUGACCAUAGUUCAUCAUUCUUACUUCAGCCACAAGCUUUACCACUCAUAUUUUGGCUGCAAUGAUAUUUUUCUUUUGGUCGCAAGCUUUAUCGCUUAUUCUUUGACCAUAAUUUAUUAUUCACAUUCCAGUCGCUAGCUUUAUCGCUCAUAAUUUGGCUGUAAUGAUAUUAUGCUAUUGGCUACUAGCUUUAUCGUUCAUUUCUUGACCCUAGCUUAUCACUCACAAAUUGGCCACAGCUAUUACACUCACUUAUUUUAAGGGUUGAAUUAAUCUCCUUUAUGUCAGGCUAGAGUUGAUCUCCUUGAUGUAAAGUUGAGAGUUCCCUUUUGGCCACACACAAUAAUAUGAAAUGUGAAUAAAUACGCAACAAGCGUAUAACAUUAUUAUUAUUACAAAAGAAAAAGAAAUAUGAUAUAUCAAUAGAGAAGUACUAGUUCAAAUGAGCUUUCAAAAAGAGUAAAGGAAAAGCAAAAGACUAGUCAAUUACAUACUCUAUAGAGAAGAGUUAUUAUUGACAAAUACAUCUAAUUGUUCUUGUACUUCAGCUUCACAUUUUUUCAGUAAAGCUAUCUUCGCUGCAAUGUCUUCUAACUCAUUCUCCAAGGAAGACUUGUUGAGAAAAAUCUUGGCUUUAGAUCUACAAUCACUGAGGCACUCAAGCUUGAAUCCAAAGUUACAAGCAUCAUUGAAAUCCUGUAACAUCUGUUGCAAUUCCUCUAGUGAAGUACUCAUUAGUGGAGCAUGGGAAAUGGCUAAAGCUCUACCCAACACUUCCAUCAUUAAGCAAAUGACGUCUACGUUCUUUACAAAGAAGGUACUCCAAAACUCUCCCUCUAUAUUGAAAACAUGCUCCAAGUAUGCCACAUACUCUAAUGAAACUUGAAAGCCAUGGAAGUCAACUCUCUUACCACUUUGUUCAGUAUGUACUACUUGAGUUCCAGAAGCACUACUUGCAUCUCUAUGUUCUGGCAAUGGGGAGGAAGAAGCACGAGGAGUCAUUGGAAUAGCUCUAACAUCAUCAGUAUCAACUCCAACAUCAUGAAUAACCUCAACAUUUGGAGUAGACUCAGGAACAACUUCAACAGCAGGAAUAGUCUCAAUAUCAAGAACAACCUCAUCUCGAAUAGCUUGCGGAGUAAGAGUAAUCUUAAUUUAAAAAAAAAAAAGGAACGGAACAACAUCAAUCGGAGUUACAUAGUAAUAUGUUUAUACCUGGUUCAUGGUAGAGUUCUGAACAUGAUUUGGAAAUAAAACAUCCAAAUCAAUGAAAUCAUCAAAAGGGGUUGGCUCACCCUCAACUUCAGCUUUAUCAACAUCAACUGAUUCAUCAUCAGAUUCAUCACUACGUUCAAAGUCACUUGAUUCUUCCUCAGUCUCAGCUUCAAAGGUCUCUUCCUCUUUAACAGAGUUAAGUUCUACUUUCGCAGUUGUUUCUCUCUACAAAAAAAAAAGUAUGAUAAGGAAAUGAAUUUAAAAAAAAAGUAGAAGAAGAAGUAAAGGAUGAACUUACUUUUCGAUGCACAUGUUUUGUUUGAUAAGUAAGAGCGCGAGAAGCAUCAUCUUCAUUUACACUUCUUUUCUUUUUGAGAGAAAUCAAGCGUAAGGAUACAUUGGAGUUACUUAUAGGAGGAGUGUAGAGACAAGCUCUGGGAUUAGUCAAAGGCAUAAUAAAAGAUCUCCAUUCUGCAACACACUCCAUCCAAUAAGCAAACCAUCCAGAAGUGUGGAUACCAACUCUAUCAAAAGCUGGGACAGUACAACUCUUAAGUUUAUCUAAACGAAGUUGAAGUUUUGCCAUGAGGAAUGAAGAAACGCAAGAAGAAAAAUUGAUAGUUGAAGAAGAGUCAGACGGAGCUGGUUGGUCAAACCCAAAUUGGCGUGCCACUCUAAAAGGAGAAUAUACCUCAACAGAAAGAAUAUUUCUAUCUCCACCUGAACUGGAACUCUCAAUCAUAGAUGGCAAUUAGGAACUGUGAACCCAUACACAAAAGUUAAUACCUUGUGAACUCAUUCUUCCAAACUGUAGAGGGUGGUGAUCAUAAUAAAUUUCAGGAUUAGCGAAUCCAUUUAUGGGCUGCACAUAAGGUCUGGGAUUGAAUUCUUUUGUCACAUCCAUCACUUCAAUAACAUUACCUCUCGGGAGUUGAUCAUGCCAUGCCCAAGCUCUGUAGUUAUUCUUGGAUAAAGGGUUAUUCACAGAAAAAUAUGCAAAAGGAUAUACAUUAGUCAUGGGUGGGCAAGUACCAAACCUUUCCCAUAGGCACAUCUGAAUCAAGGAAGCAUCCACAUAAGUCAAAACUUUGUAACGCCUAGCUGACUCAACAGUUUUGAGUUGGAACAUGUCUAAUCUUUUAUAUAGUGAUCCUAAAUAUAGUGGAGCAAGAGAAAAACGUAUUCCUUUAAUAAUUUUUAUUACUAAAGGAACAACUGUUGGAGAGAUACCAUCAUCUGGACACCUUGGGAGUAUGUGUCGUGCCAACCAAAAGAUUACUAAAGCCACCAACUCAUGCUUAUGGUUUGGGUACUCAAGAGAACUAAUCUCAAUUCCCUUAGCAUUGAACUUUUUAUAAAAAAAAACCCUAUCCAAUUGGAGAAUCGUGCAACCUUCGAAGCUUUACUUAGACUCUUAAGUAGAUCGAAGAAAAAAUCUCGAGUAUAUACCUCUUCUUCAGAAAGCUUAAUAUAGUGAAAUCAUCCUUUCCUAUACAAGAAAGUUCCAAGAUAACACAUACAUCUUCUAGAGUGAAGGUAAAUUCCCCCCAUGCAGUAAUCAUAGUAUGAGAAAACGUACUCCACCUCGCAAGAAUAGCACGCCACACAUCCAUCAUUUUUUCUGUAAGAAUAUUGAGCUUGGAAGUGAUUCGUAUAGCAUCAAGUAUCCUAGCAGAAGAGAGAACUUUAACAUAAGAAUGAUUCUUCAACUCCUUAGUUACCCAUUCAUCCUAACCAUGAACAAAUUGAGAAUUGGAGCCUAACUUAGUAGCAGAAAGGGGAAACUCACUAUGUUCAAACCUGAAUUUCAUAAUAGAUUGUCCUGGAAUACCACUUCUUCUAUGAGGAGGUGCUUCUUAGUAUAGACAAUUCCAAUCAUAUCCAACAAACUCAAAGGUAUGUUUGUCAACCUGUCUGACACAAACUUCUUCCCAAAAACGAUUUUCUCCUCAUUCUCUAAUAAUUUCAUCUUCUCAAUUUUCAAGAACAAGAAGAACUUUAUCAUUCUUUCCUACUCUAAUUUUCUUGGGAGCAACUAAUUUAGAAUCAUUAUUCUUCCUUUUAUGUGCAGUGAUUUUCUUUCUUGUUGCAGCCCUUCUAGGCUCACCAUAAUUGAUCUUCGGAGGGACACGCGUCCUAGGUAUAGAGGAUGAUGGAAAAAGCUACCUACAAACAUGAUCAUGAAAAAAGAGAUAAGUAUAAAUACACAAUAAUUUUUCAUUUUUACUUAUUUAUUAUGCAUGAAAAAAAAAUCACAAUCACAAAGUAAAACAAUAAAACUUAUCAAAAUUAUAUAUUUUGAUAUUAUUAUUUUUAUGUAUGCAAUAUAAAUAUAUAUAAUAAAUAAAUAAAACUUAAAAAAAUUUACAACUUUAAAUAAAAAUAAUAUAAUAAUUAAAAAUUAUAAAAAAAAUAAAAUAAUAAUAACUUGCCGCAUAAACCGCGAGCUUUAAAAGAAAUAGCUCGCGGUAUAUGCCGUGAGCUCCAAUAGAAAUAGCUCGCAGCAAGUCGCGAGGUCAAAAGAAAGCUCCAAAACAAAGGUGCCGCACAAGCCACAAGCUUUAGCACCAAAACCAAGUAAAAAAAAAAAAUAUAUAUAUAUAUAUAAUAAAAAAAUUAAAAAUUAAAAAAAAUUAAAAAAAAUAAAAUAAAUAUAAAAAAAAAUUAAAAAUUAAAAAAAAAUUAAUUAAAAAAAUUAAAAAAAAAAAAAAAACGCAGCUUGUGCUGCUAAUAAAUAAGAGGAGAAACAAAAAGUCAACUAAAAAAAAUAUUAUUAUAAAAUUAAAAAAAAAAAAUUUUUGUUCAAAUUGGAGUAGCUCGCGGCAUGUACCGCGAGCUCUAAUNNNNNNNNNNNNNNNNNNNNNNNNNNNNNNNNNNNNNNNNNNNNNNNNNNNNNNNNNNNNNNNNNNNNNNNNNNNNNNNNNNNNNNNNNNNNNNNNNNNNNNNNNNNNNNNNNNNNNNNNNNNNNNNNNNNNNNNNNNNNNNNNNNNNNNNNNNNNNNNNNNNNNNNNNNNNNNNNNNNNNNNNNNNNNNNNNNNNNNNNNNNNNNNNNNNNNNNNNNNNNNNNNNNNNNNNNNNNNNNNNNNNNNNNNNNNNNNNNNNNNNNNNNNNNNNNNNNNNNNNNNNNNNNNNNNNNNNNNNNNNNNNNNNNNNNNNNNNNNNNNNNNNNNNNNNNNNNNNNNNNNNNNNNNNNNNNNNNNNNNNNNNNNNNNNNNNNNNNNNNNNNNNNNNNNNNNNNNNNNNNNNNNNNNNNNNNNNNNNNNNNNNNNNNNNNNNNNNNNNNNNNNNNNNNNNNNNNNNNNNNNNNNNNNNNNNNNNNNNNNNNNNNNNNNNNNNNNNNNNNNNNNNNNNNNNNNNNNNNNNNNNNNNNNNNNNNNNNNNNNNNNNNNNNNNNNNNNNNNNNNNNNNNNNNNNNNNNNNNNNNNNNNNNNNNNNNNNNNNNNNNNNNNNNNNNNNNNNNNNNNNNNNNNNNNNNNNNNNNNNNNNNNNNNNNNNNNNUUUUUUUUACUUGAAUAUAUAUAUAUAUAUAUAUAUAUAUAUAUAAUUCUUUCAAUAAAAAAAAUUCAUCUCAUGCAAGAAAAGUUUCUUAUUUCAUAUUUUAACUUGGAGAUAUAAAAAAAAAAAAAUUCAUGCAAGGGGCAACAAAUAAGAGAAAUUCAUUUAAAAAAAUAAAAAUAAAACAAGAAAUUAUAAGAGAAAGAAAAAUUUACUUACUUAAAAAGAUUCGCAAAAGAAUCGACUUUGUUCUGAAAUUUGAAUAUAAAUGAAAAAAAUUGUUCAUAGUAACUUAAUAUUUAUAAGCCACAUAGAAUCAAGGUUUUUUAUGAAAAAAAUAUUAAAUAUUAUUACAUAAUCAAUUAAAUAUUAUAAAAGAUAUUGACAUUAAAAAAAAGAUAAUCAAAUAUUACGAAAGUAUUAAAUAUUAUUGCAUAAUCAAUCAAAUAUGACAAAAAAUAUUGACACUACAAAAAAAAAUUUUGGUAUUACACCUUACACAAAGCAUUACUGUCUAAAGCAUUACUAGCUAAGAUGUUACUGUCUAAAGCAGCACUGCCCAAGGCAUUACUGCUCAAAGUGAUACAGCACAAUACGUUACAAUACAAAAAAAAAAUUUAUACUUUAAAUUAAUACAGAAGAAAUAUUUUUAACAAUGAAUUCUUAUGCAGGGGGCAAAAUGUAGAUACUUGAUUUUGGUUAAUACUGUUACUCUAAAGAAUUAUGUUACAACAUAAUAUUGUACAGAGAACAACUUGAACAAGUGAAGUGCUACUUCACGUAGAAUAACUAGAACAAGUGAAGCGUUAUUUUACGCAAAACAACUAGAACAAAUGAAAUACUACUUAAAACAGAACAAUUAGAAUAAAUAAAGCACUACUCCAUAUAGAACAACUAAUACAAGUAGAAUAGCUACUUCAAAUAGAAUAAUCACUUCACUUGGGUGACAGUGAAAGUAACUCUGAAUAAGUGGCAGAGUUCAUGAGUUACUUUCAUUUUGGGAUGUCCCGGAGAGUUUGGCUUGCUAGCUUAAAUAUGGAGGUAGUUAAGAGGUCUUUCUUUUAACCUUUUCCUGAAGUACAAGUGUUUCACCUUCUUACCUUGUUCUCGUAUACCUAUUUAUGUACAGCUUAUUCUCUUGUACCUAUUCUCGUACAGCUUCUUCUCUUAUACCUUUUUCUUGUAUAUCUCUUUUCUAUUACCUUUCACUUGAGAAUAAAUCUUUUUACAUUUAAUUACAGUAACGGUUACUCACAUUUAUAUUUUUCAUAAUAAUAUCAUUUAUUAGGCGCAUUAAAGCUUAUUCUUGAGUAACUGUCACUUUUAGCACUAUAUAUAGAGCCUCACAAUUCAUUUAGAGGGGCUCUUUCUCUCAUAACUAACACAUUCUCAGCUUGAGAGGUUCUCUCUCUAAAUUCUCUCUCUAAUUCUUUUCUACUCUUUAGUUCUCUUCUUACUUUAUUCUACCUGCCACUCAGUACUUCAGGAACUACUUCAAUCUUUCUCUCUGCCGCCUCCGACGCAUCCUUUUACUUGUUUGUAACGCUUUCUCUCCCUAUCACAAGAACUCCCUUUACAACAGACGAUGGAUAAAGAGAUUCGGCUCGUCUCUUUUUUAUUUUUGAACAAGAGAGACCAGUUCAUGGAUAGAUAAGAAACCACCUCAUGAUAUAUCACAUCAUUCAAUAUAAAAAAUGAAAAUUUUAACCUCGUUGGCAUUUUUGAUUGCGGUUCUCUUUUCUCUUUGCUUAAGCACAAACCCGUACGUAAAAUCUGAAAACCCGCAAAUGAAGCCACUAACCAACUUGGAUCUAGGAUUCAGUUUUUAAUUUGCAGAAAAAACCCCAUAUCUCUUUAUUAAAUUCUCAAGCUCCUUUUUUCUUUUUGGUCCUUCUGUCAACCCCUUUUCCAACGAUGAUGUAUGUGAUCAAAGUUUUUUUUUUUUUUUUGAAGAGCCAAAACGACAAUCAAAAAGUAAUUUAGAGGAGCACUAGAAUUUGCAGAUGGAGUCCCAAAUCUUAAGCAGCGAUAGUAUUUUUUAGUUGUCUAGGCCCAUGAGUCACUAUGAACGAUGUCAAACAAAGUUGUUUGAUUGUUGCAUGUUUGAAAUUCUUAUGAUGACAUUGAAGGAAAGUGAUCUUUGCCUUAUCAGGGUUAUAUGGGUUUAGAGGUGCCACAUUUUUUUGUAAGUAGCGCCAUAGUGUUCUACCGUCUAGCUGAGCUCUUACUGUCAUCAGAAGUCUUUUGUCGCUUUUCUAUGAGACUUUAAGUGACAUAAUGGCUGCAGUUAUUAAUGAAAGUUUCUUUAAGCCUAUCAAACAAAGAAAAAAAAAAGGUUGCUGGCUGGAAGCAUGGAAUUCUGUCAAGGCUAUUACUUUAUGAUCAGAUCGAAAAUCAAGAAGCACGAGUCACGGGAAUCUGUGUUUUGGGUUUUAGUUUUUUAAUUUGCACAUGAGAUGUGAGCAGAGGUAAACACAAUGAACAAUAAUAUUACUAAAGCUACUAUCAACCAAAAAAUAGUUUUAGCAAUUUUUUUGAGACUUCUAGAAUUUUCCAUUCUUAUUUUUUCUAACUACCGGCAGGAUUUGAAGAGGAUAUAAGUUAAAAAGAAGUCUUAAGAAGUAAAUAGAGUUAUAGAGAAAAAGAAAACAGAUGAUUAUAUGUCUGACAAUCCAAUGUACUUUAACAAGGUAACUACCUUGAACAGCCUAAGCUUAGAAUUGCUUGAUGACAUGGUGUAUUUAGAGCCAUAGAUUUCAACUCUAGCAAGAUGGUGUCUCAUCCCUAGUCGACUGGAAUCUCCAGUUAAAUUUUCAACCGGCAGUUCUUGUUAUCUAAUCAGUGCCUUUGUGCAAACUUCACAAAGGGAUGAUAGCAACCGGUAAAGCACAUCAAUAUACUAUUCAAGUACUCAAGUUAGCAAGUGACACACAUGAUAAACCAGUGAUUCUGGUGAAUUACUGUGGUUCAAGGUGGCAGCGCACCAGUGGAGUCAAGGUGGCAAGUCAAUCUUCAGACUCCAGAAGCGCUGAUUGGCAAACACAAAAGAACUAAUAUUAUUGGUAGGAUCCCAAUUCAAUUCUAUAGAUAACCCAAAAUUGAAAGAGAUAUAUUAGUUAGCUUUAUUCGUGUGAAGAUGAAUUCACACUCUAUUAUUCUUCUUGCCAUAAAAAUAAUGUCUUCGCAUGAAUAUUAUAUGAUUAUUAAUUUUGAUCUCAUUGUAGCAAUACAUUAACAAAAACAAAUGAUAAAAUGGAUUUUUCCGCAGGGGAGGGUGAAGUGAUGUUGAUACUUGAUGGAUUUAAUAGUCCAGCCGAAACCAGGACAAUAUGAACAGUUGCAUAACUUAAAGGGUACUUUAACUUACUUGUUCACAUCAGGAUGAUAAUUCCUGGCAAGCUUUCGAUAGGCUGAACAUGGAAAGGGUAUAAUCAGUAAAAAUAAAUCAAAAGAAAAUAUAUUUAUAAUUCUAAGUUACAUUAUUAUAAUGGGUGAAGGAACUAUUACAAAAGGGAUUCUCCCAGAUACUUGGUAUGUAUGGCUCACUUAGCAAUAGGAACAUAAUAGGGAUUGAACUCGCAAUCAAUGACUCUUGGAAACCAUCAAAUUAGAGCCCAAGGAGAGGUAAAGUAAAGGAAAAAGAGAGAUUUAACUGGAUCCAUUGAUCUAUAAGCUUUCAAUGAGUAUGAUGACAGUAAAGUAUGCAAGGUGAAGGGAAAGACAACUCCUCCCACUGCAGAAUGCAUAGAAUAUUUGUCCAUAGAGUUACUAUGAAAGGAUAGUGACUAUUCAAGACAAGCUGUCUUCAAGGCCAGGAAUGGUAGAUAAAUAUUCAACUCUACCGUAUGAUGAUGUAUGGUCAAGACUAGAGCUCAGUUAAAUAAUGAAUGUGAGAUUGUUCCACAAAGACUCUAGUGGAGCAGGAAGAAAAAUUAGGGGAAGAUGGUGAUACACAGACCUCAAGGCCAGUCACAAAAAGAAAAGGCCAUCAUAUGUGCCAUGCAAAGUGAAAAAUAGACACAUAAGGUACAAAAAUAACAGACAACAAUGAUCAGGGUACUGUAUUCACCGCUUUUUAUGUCUGAUUUGCUGGCACUUUUAGACACCCCAAGGAUGGAAUAAUAAUCCUGCAAGAACAUAUUUUGAAUGAAAUAGAUAUGCAUGCAGUUUGGAAACAAAAUACCAGAAAUCAGGGGAAAAAAGAACCACCAGGAAGAAAGACAACAGAACGUCAGUUGUUACCAUAACAAUAACUGUACUGAAAAAGGAAAAUUGGAUGAACACUCACCUGAGUAGCUUUGACAAUCAGACGCCUUGCCAAGUGGUGACAUGGCCUUUUAGAUGACGGUGAAUGGAAUAAAGUAUGGGUCAAAUUUUGAGAAAAAAUGCUUGAACUUGAAAAUGAUAAUGCUCUUAUCUCAGUUAACACAGUGCAUAAUAGAACAGAACACAAUAAAAUGAUGAUCUAAGGGAAAAAUCAGCAUUGAUUUUUUGCAGAUAAGAACACAUCAUCUGGAAGACAAAAGUUGCAGCUACUAAAAAAAGGAAUUAAAAAUUUUACUGCUAAGGGAAAGACAUUUAUUAAAAGAUGUUUUAGUACAUUUAGGAACGUAGUACCAAAAAACCUUAAAUAUUUUCCUUUUAAAAUGAUGCUACUACUUUCUAUCCAAAAAACUAAAACAUGAUCAAUAUACACGAAGCCGAUUCUUAAACCUUUAUGGAGAGAAUCUCACCGUCCUUGAGGUAUCCGCAAUUUGUUUGUAUUAGAGCUUGACAUAAAUUGACGUCGGAAUCCUGACCAAGUCACCGUGGUGUUCGCCAUACAAAACUCUGUAUCAAGGAAUCAAGACUUAUCAAAUAGUUUAUAUUUUGCAGUUUUGCCAACACCACACAAAGAAUGUCGCCUUCGCAUGUGCAGUUGGCAUACAGUACACCGGAGAUAAGAGAAAACAAACAGUGAAAGGAAAAUGAUCAGGACAAUCUUGCUAGAAAAGCAAUCAAGACACCCAAAAUCUUAAAUCUUUUAGACAUGUAGAGAGCAUUGUAGAUUACAGAAACAAAAAGAUGUAAAGAAGAUGGGUUAUUUCUGAUGGACUAACCCGAAACUGCCAAAUAUAGCCCUUCUUCUCAGUUUUCGGGUUUGGGUUCCGCUGUUGGUAUUGAAUUAUGCACUGCGUGCGGUGCGGCGCGGCUCCUGUCCUGGGGCAGCUGUGGGUGUGGAGGGAAAGGUUUGAAAGCAGAGAAACGUUUGCUUAGUUACAUGUAAAACGGCUCCGAUACCAGCCUGCGGAAGACAGGAGUGUCUUCUAGAAACUGUCCAUACCUCUACAUUUUGCGGCAGCAUAAAUUUACAUAUUAUUAUAUUAUUUAUUACUUGUAAAUUCUAUAUUAGGCAUGUUUUUAUAAAUCUAUAAUACUAUUUAAAACUAAUUUUACUUUAGUGACACUAACACAUUGUGGUAAAUAAUUAAAAUUAGAAUUUUUGCAUACUCAUUAGGUGCGCGAGAAAUGAAAAAGCAAAAAAAAAAAAGAGUUUUUGGCAACUAACAAGGUAGAUUUUUAUAUGUGCAUGUAAAAUAAUUAAAAAAUUGUACCCACUUAGUAACUUAAUGGAUGUGCAAAAAUCCAGUAUAAAAUGAGAUCAUUUCACCUACGAUUUUUUAGCUACAAUCUUACAUUUAUUUAAUUACAAAAUAUGAGUUAUAAGUAUGACUAUAUAUACAUAAUAUUUUAAUGGACUGUCAUAAAGGUUUGGAGGAUCCUUAUGGGGAGGAAUUGAAAAGGAGGACCGAGGGAAUGGCGGGAAAUGAGGAGGCUUUGUUUGGGUUUAUGAGAGAUUUGGGUGGGCAGUGGUGUAGUAGGAGAAGGAAGAGGAGGAUUGUUAAUGCUAGUAUUUUAGGAGACUCGUUGCCAGUGGGGUGGAAGCUUUUGUUGGGGUUAAAGAGGAGGGAAGGUCGCGCCUCGGUUUAUUUCCGUAGAUACCUGAGGUGAUUACUUGUUCAUUUCUUUGUAUGUUCUUUUAGUUUCACUGCGAUUGUGAACAAAAAUUUUAGUAGUUUUCUUUAUUGGUUUUUUUAUAUUAAUUAAUCAUAGACACUUAAAUACUGAUUUUUGGCAUCUUUAUGAGUUAUGAAACAGCACUUUCCUGACUAAUUAGAGAUUCAUAUCAUGCAUAAACUUCAAUUUCUCUCUUAGGCAUUAUCUUUCCCUUUUUUUUACAGUCCUGGUGGACGGUAAUUUGUAUCAUGUAAAGAACUUUCUGCGUACUUGCAAUCCUACUUUGGUGGACUCCAUGAUGCACAUCUGACGUUGGAUAAAGAUGGUGACAUUGCUCAGCAGGUCCAUCAAAUGGUUUCUGAAAAUGUAAGUGAGGUUUGUCUUAACUUUGGUUGAACCCAUGACAGAAACUGGAAUACUUAACAUUGUUCGAUAUGGUCAUGCAAUAGCAGGGAGGUAUCGUCCAGAAAGAGGAUGAUCGAAGGCGGUCUGAUGAACAUGAGAAGGAAGUCAACUUGCUGGGUAUUGAUAACCUGGCGGAAGUUCAAAUACAUGAUCUUUUUGAAUGCCAUAAAUGCAAUAUGACAUUUGAUGAGAAGGAUGCAUAUUUACAGCACCUUCUGUCAUUUCAUCAGAGGACUACAAGGAGGUAUAGACUUGGUUCUUCUGUUGGGGAUGGUGUGAUACUUAGAGAUGGAAAAUUUGAAUGUCAAUUCUGUCAUAAGGUAUUUCAUGAACAUCGUCAGUACAACGGUCAUGUUGGGAUACAUGUCAGGAAUUAUGUGAGAGGAAUUGAAGAUUCACCUGGUUUACUGACUCUUCCAAGGAGAACUGAGGUUGCAACUAGGCAAGAGUCGGCCCCAAGGAUCUCUAAGAUGGAUGCUUUAAUUGAAAUUGAGCAGAAUUCUAUUCUUGAAACUACUACUACUGUGCCUAGAUACGAACUCAAUGAUGGAUUAAGUCCUGAUAAAUUGAAUGCAGCUUCUAAUCCAGAAAUUCCUGCUUCUACUUCCGAUCAUGAAAUGAAUUCUGAUUCUCCUUUAAGUGAAUCUGGAACAGAGGAUGACAUGACUUAUAGAUCUGUGAAUAAAGAUUUAUGUCAACAAAACAGUGAGCCUAUGAUCCUUAAUGAAAAGACAGGGAAGACUGAUGAAGCUAGCAAUGCUGUGAAUAUGGAUUCUCUUGUGGAUGCUACAAUUUCUGCAUCUAUGGAUGAGCAAAAUGGUAGUAUAUCUGAAACUUUUGUCCGGAAAGAUAGUUUAACCUUUCAUGCUGAUGAACUCAACAAGUCUUGCAGUAAGCAGCAAAGAAGUUCUGAAAGCAACUUACUUCUUCUCUCCACCGGCCAGGGUCUCUGUGAUGUUAAGAAUAAUGUCAAUUUAGUUGGUGCUGGUGCAAGAGAGCAUCAUAAACCUGAAGAGGUGGAUAACAAUGAGAAUGCUGAGUUAGAUAUUGGUUUUGGAAACGGUUGUGGGCCAGCUGAAGAUGUUGCACCAGAGACUAUACAUCAAACAUCUGAAGAAAGUGUACUUCAGGCCGAAGGGUCUGACUCAUCAAUGUCCCUAUUGCAACCUCUAAAUGGUACAUUGGCAUCAAAUGCAAUCUCAGAUAAGGUAUAAAGCCACUGUUCUGUUUUUUGGUUGCUUUAUUAGUUACAAUGUGGUUUAAACACUUUGUAGAAUGUUGUGAUACUCACUUAAAUCCUUAUACAUCUCCAUUUCUAGAUAGUUAUCAUUUACAUUUUUCUUUUGCUGUCCAAUUUGACUCAGUCUGGUUGCAUAGUUGCCAUUGAUAAGCUUUCCUCAUUAAUUCAUUACAUUGGUUGAUCUGGUUCAUCAAAAGUUUUAGUUGGUUCCUUAUUGCUUUUCUUAUGAUUAGUUUCUAAAUGUUGUUUAUAAUUUUUUUUAACUAAAAAAAAAGUUAUCUCUAGAUUGGAAAGAAGAUUGUAACUUUUUAGUUUAUUUUAUAUUUUGCCGUAGACACUAAAUAUGGUUGUGCAAUGUGACAUAGUUAUUGUUUUAUUGUUAUGACAUUGUUUUGCUGUUAUGAUACAAAUUUAAACCAUGCAUUGAUGUUUUUAUUUAUAUGCUAAAUCUUUUGCCCAUAAUAGUAUCACACUAUUGCAGUUUUAAAUGUCAUAGCUUUCUUACAGAUGUUAGAUCUUCUAGGUAAAAUGGUUGGCUGAACUUAUUUCACCAAAGAAAUUAGUUUAAUGAACUCCAUGUGUAUUUGCAGGGAGAAGAUGGUUUAUGCAGCAUUGAUCGGAAGCAUGACAAUGUAACAGGAUUUGAUGAGCUGAGGUUGGAUGAAAUAGAGCAGAUAAAUUUAAGCUUUGGUGGUGUACAAGAAUCUCCCUCGUUGCCAGAGGUUCCGGUAGAUUUGGCUAAUAAUCCAGAUAUAGGAGGUGCUUAUGGUUCCUCAGUUCAGUUUGAAUCAGAAGCCUUGUUAAAUAUGGCUGGCAAGCAUCAGCUUACAACUGUUUGUGUGUGGUGUGGAACAGAGUUCGACCAGGAGGCUAUUGAUUCUGAAAUACAAUCAGAUUCGGUUGGUUACAUGUGUCCGACCUGCAAGGGCAAAUUUCUAGGCAACUCAAUGCAUUAAACAGUGGUUCAGCCAUGCCCUUUGUUUUGUAUAGAAGGAAAAAUAAAAAAGAAAAAGAAGAAAGAAAAAAACAGUGGUUCGGCUAUGAAUUAUCACCUCUCAGUCAAGCCUUUCAUAUUUGAGUUUUAGAACAGGAAUUACUUGAUGUGGGUAACUUCUAUUAACUUUUUAAUUGCCUAUUGCUGAGCCCUUUGUUAUGUUUUUCCUAGCUAUUGACUUUGUAUGGCUUCUGGCUGCUUUGAUAUAUGUAUAUAUCUUCUUAGAUAUUGGUAUGUCUUAAUUUGUUAUUGUCUCUUAUGCAAGAUUUGUGCAAGUGGUUAGGUUAUGUGAAUUAGAGUAAAAAGUUAACUCAAAAAUAGAGAUAAGGGCAUAAUAAUUACAGUAUCUUGUGAAGUAAAAUGAUAGAUAAAGUACAGGAGUAGAAUUUGGGGCAGAAUAACGAAUAUGAUAAAGUCUUUUUAUUCAGUGAUCUGUUCAAAUAGCUGAUAUAUGAUAGGUUACAUGAAAUCUUCGUAGACAUUAGGGGUUCAAGAAAAGUAGCAGUCUGGGGUUUGUUUUUGAUUGAAGAAAAAAUUUCAGGGCCCGUUUCUCAACUAGGAGUGAAGCAGCCUAGUCGAGGGUCUAUUUGGUUUCUGGCGCGGUGGCAGCAGAUAUAAAUGCCUGCAGAAAUCUCAGGAAACCAACUAUUUUAUAAAGAGAACAAAUGGACAAUUAAGUAGCUAUCUUAGCAUCUGACAAUGCGCCACAAUCACCUAAGCAAGUCGUAGAUUCAUUAAGGCUUUAAUGGUAUAGUCUUUGUACCAUGACUAUUUUUCAAUUCAUAGAUUUUGCUGCAUACAUCACAUAUGAUCUGGUAAUUUGAUGUGAUCAAGUGGCAGCAAAGGUGGUAAUUGAUGUGUCAAAUGCAUCUGUUAUAAUUGAGGAUUUUUUGGAUAUAAAUAAAAAAUUAAGAGUUGGUUUGGAUAUGAUAAAAGAUUAGGAACUUAAUCAGAAAAAUGACCAAGGUCAGGGGCUUUGUUUGCCAUUCAUUAAUUAAAUACUAAAGGAUAGCAUAAUUUUGUUGACACUUGAAAUAUUCCUUGUACAACUUGGCAGAGCAUUGUCGACAUACAACUUGGCAGAGCAUUAUCGACUAUCUUAAGAGUAGGCCACUAGAAUCCUCGUUAAAACUGAGGGCUCAGCCUAAUUAUUAGUACUAACAACUGCCAAUCAUACUCAGCUAUGGUGGAUAUGCUCUUGAUCUGUUGUGAAGUUGCAUGCAUAUUACUACUGUAUCUGUAUUGUAUUUGUUUGACAUGCUCUUGCUAUAACUCAAGAAGUUGGUUUGUCGACUUGCAUUUCAGUGAAACCCGAAACACGAAAGAAUUUUGGUCUCAUGUUCUGGACAAUAACCUGGCUUCAACUUUCAUCUGUAACAUAUUUAACCUUUCUAACUAAUCUAGACUAGGUUGUCAUAUAUAUGUAGUAUAUUCACGUUCCACCGCUAUAUAACUGCCCGAACUUCUGUUGCUGUUUCAAAAGAGAUAAUAUAUCAAUAUCCUAACCAUUUGAUCUGUAAAGUUUCCUGUUUCCUUUCAUUUUGUUUUCUGUUAUACCAAUAUUAUACCUAUAUUAUGACAAUAUGAUUAUUAGUACUACUCUUUGGUGUCGGCAAAUGGAAGAUGAUGUCAAUUGCUUACAUGAAUCAGUGGCACAGUGAUAUUCGACUUGCCCAUCAAUUUGUGAACCAGAAUUAAACCAAAGGUACCCUCGGAUAUCUUUGAAUAUAGAAAAGCUCAUUUUGAGUUUGGAUAAGAUUUUUGAAAACCAAGAGCACUAAAAACAUUGUUAUUGGUCAAAAAAAAAAAAGAAAUGAAAAGAAGAAAGCUAUGAAAUGAAAUGAAUUGUAAGCAUUUGACCGCAUCGAAUUCAUGAUGGAAACUCCUCUAGUGGGAAAAGCAUACUAUCGCACGAGAUAAAGGCGUUCUCAUACUGAGAGAACCUUAAAUUAACGAAACCCCUUUUUUGAUUUUUGGGUAAAAAGAAGCACCACUUUACUACAAGAAAAGCAAUGCGAAAAGAAUUUGAAACAGUGACUAUUUCAAAUUCCUAAUGGGGAAUCUCAUGAAUGGAUGGAUGUCCAUUAACAAGACUUAAAAUGCAUUGUACUUAGCUCAGGGAAGUUCAAACUUAUGAAUGCUGAUGUGUCAUUAUAAAGAAAAAAUCAUAGCAUGACCCUCCAUACGACCUAGGGGUCUGCUUCGUGUUAUAGAUAUUAGUAAGACAAAAUAAAGAGAGAGAACAAAUGGAAAAAAAAUACAAUUAUAUAAAUCAUUAAAAUAUUAUCUUAUAGGUAAGGGUUUAGGAUUAAUUUAACCAAUGGGUACGUGAUCACUAAAUUAUAAAUUAAAAUUAGAUAAACAUAUGUAAUAAGUAGAAUCAGAGAAAGCAGGAGUAAAGCAGAAGCCUUAAUCUCAUCUCUGUAAAAAUAAAAUUAUAUAUAAAUUGAAAUAUGGGAUAUUUUGCAACCACCCCCAUGUGUGUAUUUUUCAGUAAGGUACCCUGUCACUGUAUGCUUCAUCUCUAAGACGAAGCAAGAAUCAGACAAAGCAGGAGUAAAGCAGAAGCGUUAAUCUCAUCUCUGUCGUAGCCGCAGAGUUUGAAAGGAAAACGCAUCUGAUUCUUGCUCUUUAUUCUUCAGUAGAAUAAAGAAAUGAAUCAGUGGCCGAAAGGUUAAAUAAAUAAAUCAAUCACUAAAGUUUCUAUUGGAUGAUCACAAAAGCUAUGGCUUCACCUUGGUUUAGAUUUUGAAUUCCUUAAGGUUGUAUAUAUGCUUCAGGAGCCUGCUCUAAUUAAUUUGUAUAAUCUCUUGAUUGAAUUAACGAAUUUUCUUUUUACUGUUUUACGAAUGUUAUUCAUUCAAUCCACCUUGGUCUGUCUUAAUUCGUCCAAAUGUUUGGACAUCAUUUGUUAAUCGAACGUUAAAAGUUGAGCAACUUGGGCUUAAUUCAGGAGGAUUGGAAUAAAUCACCUAAAGUUAUCCUUGUCUUUCAAAAACAAAAAAGGAAAAAGAAAGAGAGAAAGUCUCUAAAUAUCAAACUUAAGUCAAUCCCUUAGAAAAUGUCAUGAGUGUAUGAUGAGUAGAAUGAUUAGCUAAAAGUCUUGAUAUCAUUUAAGCCAAUCUUAUUAAUUAUAUCAUGGGUAUAUAAAGUAGAAUGACUAGCUUUUUAAUUAGUUUGGAGGCCAACCCAUAAUUCUAAAGGAAAAAAUAUUGUAGAAAACUAACAGACUAAAUAAUUAAGCAGGGAAAGUGAUCAAUAUUUGAACAUGAAAUCUCCGGCUGUUAUCUCAACUAUAUUUGAUACCUAAGGAAUUUAAUUUGGUAAUUUCAUUUACCAUCAAGCUUCUAAUAAAUUUACUCCCAGCGGACAUAAUUUUCUCUUUUAGUGUCGCAUGAUCCUAUGCCUUAUAAUAAAGAUAAAUUGGACUCACACAUCUGAACAGUGAGAAUUAAUGUAUUAAACUAAGACAAACAAAAAUAGCAAAGGGUCGGGGUCAAACCAUCUUAAUGGCUUGGGCAUCAGCACAUAAAAUAGUUUGAACUCAACCAAUAGAAUGAAGAAUCAUAAGAGAUUAUGAUUAGAUUACAUAUCUAAAUUUUGAAUUCUAAAGUUGUAAAUAUAAUAUUUUUAUAUAUAUCCGCGCAUAAUAAUAAGAUAAAGUUAGAAGCAAGGAAUGACGUAGUAGUGGCCCUUGGCCUUGUCUGGACCUUUUCUCUCUGUUUUGUUAUGUUCCAUUUAGACUUCAAAUAAUAAGUUUCCUCCCAAUCAGGCAGCGAACUUUUGCUCAGGCAGCGCACUUUUGCUCAGCCUCCAGGCUCGUAAAUGCUGCAGAGGCGAGAUGGAAAUUAAAAUCGUAUGUCAGCGUUGCAGGCAAAAGUUUGCAGCGACAACCAAUGCUGAGACAGUUGUUUGCCCACAUUGCCGUAAGGUCAAUCCAAAUCGAACGUUACAGAAACGAUCAUCUACCGGAGAACAUGGCAGGGUAAGUGCCCUGUUGGUAGGUAACUGUAUAAGGGAAACGCUGAAGAAAAUACUGCGGGGCAGCACCCCAAAACCUGCUGCUGCUUUAGGGUCAUCGUCCUCAACCAUUUCCUCUAAGCUUUGUGCUUUGGACUACACUGGCCCACGGGCAAAUAAACGUGCACUUCUUUGCGGUGUGAGUUAUAAGAAGUGGAAGUAUAAGCUCAAGGGGACCAUAAACGAUGUGUCAAAUAUGAAAGAUUUGUUGACUCAAUACUAUGAAUACCGGGAGGAAAACAUUCUAGUGCUCACAGGUAUUUAUCAUCAGCCUUACUGGUGUUGUGUUUUAGUAGAUGUAGGAUAAGUAUGAAACAGAGCAAGUGAAGAUAGUUUUUGUUAUAACAGUAGGCUACAUAUGUCUGAUAUGCUUUGUUAUAACAGUAGGCUACAUAUGUCUGAUAUGCAUUGACCUAGAUUAUAUGCAUAGCAAAACUUAACAAGUAAGCCUUGAACAGUAGCUAAGCAUAAGAAUACAUACUAAUCAUCACAUAAGUCAUUCCCUAGAUGCAUACCUACCAUAAUUUGACUGAAGGCUAGCUGUUUGAAUGCAAAAUGGUCACUUAUGAUCUUAAGGUUAAUAGCAUGAACUGAUGUAGUUUUCAAUGCAAGUCCUAUUUCAACAUCAGGCUUUAGCUAGCUUGUGUACUUUAAGUUGCAUUAAUGGUCAAAGAUAAAGCUUCCUUUUAACAAAUUUUGUUGUACAGCUGAAUGACUUUUCCCUUCUAACAUUUAGAAAAUGGAUUGGUAUUUGAGCUCACCCAAUGAAAAAGCAUUCAUUUUAUAGAAGAUGAAAAAAACCUUUAUAAUUCCUUAUUGUAUCUAAGAUUGAAGUAUAUGUAAUUAUCCAACGGUUGAUGUAAUUCUAUAUGUCCACACCAUUAGCUGCGAAGACUCAUAUUAGAGUAAAUUUGGGAUAGGGAAUAUAGAAUAUCUUAGAAAAUAUGACAAAUAUAUCUUAAAUUAUAUCUUUUACGAAAUAUAUGGAUAUCAAAUAAUUUAGUACUAUGCAAACAUUUGAUUCACUAAUAGGUACUUAUAUUCUCAUGUUUUAAAAACUAAAUUCGUAUUUCUUUAUUAUGUAAAUUUCAAACUCCACCUAUUAGGACGUCAGUAAUUUAUUUUUUUGCUCAAGUUUGACAAAAAAUGUUUAAUGUUUUGAACAUUUAUUAUAAUAAGAUCAAUAUAUAUAUACACACACAUUUGUAUGCAUCUAUGUAUGUUACAAGGCAUUAAUUAAAUUUUUGGGGCUUGUAAUGGAUUAAUACUCUUUGAGGUCUUUAACCCAAUUCACACCAGUACUUUCUCAAAUUUUUUGUAACUUCAAAGUGAAAUGAUUAAAAAUAUAUUAGAAUUCGAAUCAUAUUUACUUUAUAAUGGUAAAAAAGAAUGAAGCUGCAUGAGUGUCAUUGUCUCAUGCCAUGUAUAUAUAUUUAACUGUUAGUAUAUAUUGAUGUACGUUUGAUAUAAUUUAUAGAAAUGAAAUAGGGUGAGAAUGAAAUAUGAUUUUGUUUGACCCAUAGAAUAAAAUAGUGAUAGAAAUUUGAAUAGCUAUUUUGUUAGUUUGGUUUCUAGCAUGUAAUACACACAAAAACACACACACACACACACAUAUAUAUAUAUAUAUAUAUAUAUAUAUAUAAACUAGCAAUAAUAUUAAAAUCUUGUUGAACUAUGAUGUUGGUUUGAGGGCAUGGACCAACUCGGAGUUGCUUAUUUUCAUUCGAAAUACAUCCAGGGAAUGAAACUUAAGUAUUCAACUUAUUCAAAGGGUGAAAAGAUUGUCAUUCUAGUGAACAAAGAGCUUGUCCUGUCACUUAUUGAAAUGUUAUAAGCAAUUUCUCAUACUAUCAACGAAAGCCGAAUUGAUCCCGUUAACUUUUUAAAAGCAAUCGAUAAGUCAUUACUUAAUUUGAAUAAUUAACAGUGCUCUAUAUCUAUUCACCAAACUGCAGAGGAACAGACAGACCCCCGACUUAUACCAACAAAGGCAAACAUCGAGCAUUGCUUGAAAUGGCUGGUGGAUGACUGCCGGUCAGGAGAUUCGCUGGUGUUCUACUACUCGGGACAUGGCUUACGCCAACCCGAUUUCGAUAAUGAUGAGCGUGAUGGGUUCGACGAAACCAUCUGCCCGGUGGAUUUUCUGAGAGAAGGCAUGAUCCUCGAUAAUGACAUCUAUGCCAUCAUUGUUAAGCCGUUGACAGAGGGUGUCACGCUUCAUGCCAUUGUUGAUGCUUGCCAUAGUGGAACUAUUCUUGAUCUAGAGCACGUCUAUAAUAAAGAAAAGUGAGUUUCCACAUACUUAUAAAUGUCCUAAAACUGAUUGCUGCCAUGCUAGUAAUUGUACAUAAUCAGAUUGGAGAUUCUUUGCUCCGGGGGGUUAAUGGCAGGGAAAAGUGGGAAGAUAACAGUCCUCCAUCAGGUGUGAGAAAACAGACAAGUGGUGGAAAAGCAUAUUGUAUCAGCGCUUGCGAAGAUGACCAGGUUGCCGCUGACACAUCUGUGAGAGAUUCCUAAUUCCUUUUAUUAUGAUUCUUUCUUUCUAUUUGAUUUUAGACUACAAUUUCUAAAAAUAAUUUGUUUUUUUUUUAAAGCAAACAAUUCCUGGUAAUAGUUCAUCAACUAUUUGUGCAGGCUUUUAGUUCCAAGUCAAUGAAUGGUGCAAUGACAUUCAUUUUAGUACGAGUUGUCAGAGAAAAAUCAAGGAUAACAUACGGUGAAUUACUUAACGAGAUGCAUGAGCGAAUUAAGGAAGCUAACAAACAAGGAUGCCUGGGUGAUUCAAGAAUAUUGAGUAGAAUAUUUGGCCCCAAUCUCACACAGGUAAUCUCUCCCUUUAAAUAAUUUACCUCAAGCACUCUAGACAAUAAAUACAAAGGUUUACAUUUGAGAAUUUAACUCAAUGAUAAGUGCAAAUAUCGAUUUGUAUGUUAUAAAAAUUGAUAUUUCUUAAAUCCCCAGAUAAAAGAAAAACAUUCAUAUGCGUGUAUUCAAAUAUUGCUAAAAAAAUUAAUGAAAUUAUUAUAUAUAGGAUUAUUAAUUUAUUAUACUACAUAUAUAUAUAUAUAUAUUUAUGUAUGCAUAAUUAUAGUUAUUUCAUUCCUAUACAAGAGAGAACAUUAUGAUUAUUUGAAUCUAAAUAAUAUCCUUAUCCUCCUACCACACUUUACUUUUACCUGAAGUAUUGCUAUAUCAUAGUUAAUUAAAAAAUUUAUCCUAACCUUAAGUAUUGCUAUAUUAUAGAGCAAAAUUAUACACAUAAAAAGUUACAAAAAGUUGUACUCUUUUUUCUUAUUCAUGUAAAAGUUUCUUAACAUAUAUUACUGUGGCACUGGUUUUUUUCUGAAUGUAUACAGAAGCCUCUACUUUCAGCUUCUGAAGAGUUUGACAUUUACCAGAGGCCAUUUAAACUAUAACUGUACGUAGUGGAUCCUAUUAAAGCAACGGGAAGUGUAACGGAUUUUUCCUGGAGCGGUUUGAGAGCAGAAGCUUUCUAUUCAUUGCUGAUCUUCAAGAAGUACUCUGAUCAUCAACUCAUGGUUGAAGGAAACCUUUGCUCAAAGUACACUCCUAUCGGUUCCCUUGGCACGAAAACUGAAAUAAAAUAUCUGAUGACGAGUGUUUUUAUUGUUCAAAGAAUAGUUACCAGGAAAUAAACAGUUUAGAAGAUACCUAUUCAUCAUCAAUAAAAGAGAUGAAAUACGAGAGGAAAAUGAAAAGAAAUACUGAAGAGGACCGCUGCUAUACCAAAUGGUUUUCAUUUGUCUUUGUUUGGCUGGUGCCAAGAUCUUGCCUUGUACAGUUUAGAUGUAAGAAAAAAUUCAAAAGGGCUAAUUAUGUUUUGUGUCUAACGCUUGACAAUUUGUAACAUUUGAGUAAAAUUGUCUAUGAUACCUGUAAAAAUGUCCGUGUGAAGUGUAGGAUUUGUGAUAAAAGAAGUUCAUUUUGUCAACCAACCUGCUCUUACUCUGUAUCUCUCCAAUAUGACAACAAUCACGAUUUUCUCAUCAUAAUUGUCCUUGAAAAAGAAAAAAGAAAACCCCGUAAAAUCUUCCAUAAAUUCUAUUCUGGUAAUUUGGAGUAGGAUUUCUCUACUCCAAAUCCCAUUUCUCUAUUAAUCAUGCAGACUUAUGACUCUGGACAUGUUACUCAACCAUUCAAAAAACUACUCCCAGGAGGGGGAAGGAGUGGGGGAGGGCUAGGUGGAAGUAGUUGGGAUAAUCUCAUGAUGCCCUUUGAUGGAGUUGGGUUGGCUGCCUUGAGGAAGGCAGGGAUGUGAGGAUUUGAUUAAAGAGGGGGACGGGUUGGUUUGUAGGUGUGAGUUGAUGGAAUUAGAGUGAUGAUCUGAAAGAUCUGAUGUUGGUGCUCACUUAGCUUUUGUAUUUUCGAUGUUUCCAUAGUGGGUGAUGGAUGCCAUGGAAGUCUCUGGUCAAUCAGGCGAGAGACUUGAAAUGGCAUCCUCAUAUGGGGAAGAAAUAAAAACACUUUUCAUAAAAAAAAAGGAGUGAUGAUCCAAAAGAUCUGAUGGUGUGUGGCUGGCCUUGGUUAUUUCAUUUCAGGUGCGACAGCUCUGUCAUUUUCUGUGUGAUCUAUGCUUACCACGAGGGACUAAGGGUUCAAAAAGUGAAUGGGGUUGAUCUGAAGGAUGGUGGGACUUAAACCCGAAUCAAGAGACUGGUUUGAUUGAUGCUGCCAGGCAGGUUCCCAGUUAUGAAACCUGCACUAGGCCUCCUUUUUGAGUUCAGGCUGUUAGUCUUUUGGUUCUGGCGUAUUUUUUGUUCACGGGGGCUCGGUUUCUCACGUAAUUGAUGUGUAAGUGGCGGGGUUGGUUUUGAAGUGUAUGGGGACGAUGGGUGUGUUGCUCUUCAAGGUUUGGUGGGUAGGCAUUUCUGAUACCAUAGAGCUUGAAGAUUUUUUGAAGAAAGCCUACAAUCCCCAUGUGCGCGGACCAGAACCGACUGGACUGUGUGGGCUAUGUGCGUAAUGUUAGUUUUUUGUCUGCGUAUUAGUCUUGACAAGCAUGAGGAGUGCAGGGGUAGUUGGUGGACCAAGCAGAGAGGACUGUCGAAAGAGUGAGGUUGACUCCAUGAUGUGGUUAUGUUUUUGCGUUGGUUGUAUUUGCUGAGAGGAACUGGGUCUGUUAUUGUUUACCUGCCCAGUUUUUUGCUUAGGGGUAGGUCGCUGCGAUUUUUUGUUUGAUGCAGAAUUGGUUGAGUUUGACGAAAGCGGCCAAUACCUUUCUGAGCGGGGAAUAGCUUUUGUAAUUGUACAGAUCCUUUUUCGCCCAAACCAGAUGUUAUGCCAUAAGAAAUAGUCUUGGGCCAAAUAAAAAAAACAAAGGCAGGUGUGCUUAGAUCACGGGAUUUGCUGAAUGUAUUCCCUUGUCACUUCCUAUAUGCCGAGUUCUUCGUUCUCUGGUGUAACUGCUGCUGGAAGUUGCAUUAGUGGAACAGUUGCUGUGUAUUCUUUUCUGAUCAUGUUUUUGGGUUUGAGCCAAUUGUGUGACUGCUUCAAUUGUGAAUAUUGCCAGUGUCCCGUGUGUGGUCUUCAACGGGUGGCGAAAUACAUGCAGCUUUUUCUUGUGGGUAUAUAUAUGUGAUCAUUUUGUGUUGUAAUUGAGACUGUUAGGCUGCAAUUAGUGUGGUUGUGCAGAUUUCUAGCAAUGUUGCGUAAAAUUAAGCAAGUGGGGGCUGGCUAGUCGUACCUUUAGAAUGUGCUGUAUGGAACCUGUACAUAUUGGUCUGGUAUGGUCCAAUUUUGAUGGUUUUAAUUAGGUCGAUAUGCCCUGUUGGGUGUUAGGCAUAAAGGCUUGAAAUCCUCCUUUAAUUUGUUCCUUGAACAAUCAACGUAUAAUAACAAUCAACGUUAACCUUUAAAAGAAAAAGCUGUAAAAGAUUAGCAACUAUACCAAAAUUAUGCUUACUUGCUUAGUAUAUACAAAAGAGAGAGCAGAAGUUGACGUGAGAGAAAAUUUUAAUUUAAUAUUAUUUAUAUUGUCUAUGGUUAAAGAAUAUGUAUCCUAAUUAUUACCAAUGUAUAUUAUAUAUGGAUGAAUGUGUUCUCCAGUUUAAUUACUUGUGUUAACCUACACUAUAGGUCAAGAUUGACAAGCGAUUCCCUUUGGAUGAGGUGCACUAUGGAUCAGACAAAAACUCAACAGCAAAUAGAAGAUGAUAGGGUCGAGGUCAAGAUCGACAAGCGAUUCCCUUUGGAUGAGGUGCACUACGGAUCAGACAAAAACUCAACAGCAAAUUGAAGACGACAGGGUCGAGGCUAAUGGGAAUUUUGGGGGGAUUUUGUUUACAAAAUAUUAAUGGGAAUUACAUUUAAAUUUAUAAGUUUCAUAAAGGAAUGGUGCAAAAUGAACGCAAAAGUUAUAUGAAUUGAUCUGUAUAUAUGCACUAGCUAGCUAGAUGCAUGGCAUAUUGGCAUUUGGUUCUGUCUAGUACAGGAGGUGGUAUUACAAUCCUAAAAGAAGUAUAUUAGGCCAAAGGAAAAGAAGAAAAUGUCAAAGCAUUUCAAUGGACAGGUGACAAAUCACACAUUUUAAAUGGAUUUCCACUACAAAAGGGAAUAUAUUUCUCUAGAGAAAUCUUCAUGUUUUCUUUGCAUAUAUAUAUGUGUCUGUGAAGCAUAUGUACUUGUACUUGUUAAAGCUUCUCUCCACUAUAGUCGCUUAAAAGAAUGUUUGGUUUAAUUUAGCUGCAAAAACUCGUCAAACGUCUAGAAAAGCAAAAGUAAACAAAAAGAGUUCAGUUUAGUUGAUAUUUUGCUGUUUUAUUUUUUCUUAAAUUUCUAAACAAAAAGUAAAUGUUAUGUUUGAUUGCACAUAAGUCAAAAUUAUUUUUUAAAAAAUACAAAUUAAGAUUUUCAUCUUACUUUUACAUAUAAAAAAAUAAAAUUUAUUUAUUUUUAAUAAAUGAUUAUAAUUUUUUGAAGAAGCAAUUAAUGAUUAUAGUUGAUUAUUUUUAUUUCUUUUUUAAAUACAUGUGAUAUUUUUAUUAUUAUUUUUAUAUAAAAAAAGAGUAUCACAGCUUGAACUUAGUUAUUCUUACCCGUCUAUCUUUUAUCACUUGAGUUAAAUCCUCAACCCAGUGCCAAAAGGCUAAAUUCACUGUAUAGUUUUUCUGUGAUUAAUACAAAUAUUUUGUUGGUUGAGAAAAAAAAUUUACUAGAACUGUUGUUGUGGGAUUGGGACAGAUUUAAAUAAAAAUAAAAUAAAAUACUUAAAAGAAAUUUAAAACCAUAACAUAUUAUAUAUAAAAGCGAGCUAGAUUCCAAUAGCAUGUUGCAUAUAGGAUAGCAUAAAUCUUAGAACACUUUUUGAUGAGCACAUCAUGACACUUUCAAUAAUCAACUCUUUGUAUUUUCAGAUCAUUUUUUUUUAAAGGAGAAACACUUUGCACUUUACAGAUUGUGCUCUUCAAUUACUUGAUUUAUAUAUUUAUUAAUUAAUCUCAUUGUUAAUUUGAUGCUUAUAAAAGCCAAAGAACAGUCACCCACAUCUAUGAAUAAUCCUAGGGCUAACCGUGUAGAAAUAUAUUGGUUACCUUUGGUUCUUAACCGUAAUCAAGAUAUUCAAACUAACCCUCUCUUUUUCGGUGCCAAAACCUUACAGGGCAUCGGCAACAAUGGAAGCUGGACGAAAUACAACGUGCCAUCGGUGCAACAAAAGAUCAUUAGUGAAGGGAAGAAACAAAAGUCUAGGAAUUGAUUGUCCGUCGUGCAGCAACUUUUUUCCAAUUCCGAACGAGGAGCUGCAGACAAGCCAGCUCCAAGGAUUUCGCAGCCGAAUGAGACGUCUUGCCAGUCAUUUGAAAAGUAAGAUUCAUCAAGGAGCCGUAGCUGCUUCCUUAAAUCAUGAGCCCUCUGGUCCUAACCCGACAAGAUCCAGCAAGCGUGCAGUGCUUUGUGGAAUCACUUACAAUAAAUUGAAGUACAAGCUUAAAGGAACUAUUAACGACGUGAAAAACAUGAGAGAAUUGUUGAUUACUAGAUUUGGUUACCGCAGAGAGUGCAUUCGUGUUCUUACCGGUAUGCUAUUAUUGCUAGCUACUUAUUUAAUUACUAGUGUAAGUCUUCAUAUAUGAAUUAAUAUUGGCAUUAAUAUUAACUUUUCCCAUUUCGUUGCCAUGAUUCUAACUGCAGAAGAGGAGACAGACCAACGCUACAUCCCAACAAGGCAAAACAUCGAGGAUUCCUUGAGAUGGCUGGUGACUGACUGCCGGUCAGGAGAUUCACUGGUGUUCUUCUACUCUGGACAUGGCUUACGACAACCUGAUUUCAACAACGAUGAGGAAGAUGGGUUCGACGAAACCAUCUGUCCAGUUGAUUUUCCGAAAGCGGGCAUGAUCCUCGAUAGUGAUCUCAAUUCCCUCAUCGUUCGGCCGCUCAAGCCUGGUGUCACGCUUCACGCCAUUGUUGAUGCUUGUCAUAGUGGAACGAUUUUAGAUCUUCCAAAUGUUUACUUCAGUCUAGAGUAAGCUUCUCUAUUUUUUUCUGCUACAAUUUUCAAUUAGAAACGUAAUCAGCGUCCAAAUCAAUGCACAGAUAAAUCAUAUAAUAAAAAUAUUUAACAUGGUUAGACAUCCAUUGUUUACGUUCACGAAUGAGAGAUAAAAAAUUCACUAUGAAUGUAAAGAUUACAAAAAGAUACAUAAUAUUAAAAGAUUACAAAAAAUACAAAAUACUAAAAAACAACUGGUAAAUCUGAAUCUCGAAACAAAUUUAAGUUUUAUACUCACUAGUGUUUAACCCCAUGAAAUAUUCUCUAUCCUAUGUAAUCUUAUGUUUUCCCACACUACAAAAAAAUUAAGUUUUAAUCAUACUUGUUUAGAUGAUAUAUUUUUUUGUAUAUUAAAAUUUUCAAAAGUGCAACUAUUUAAAAUUUUAACUUCACUUUUUUCACAUUUAGUAACAAUAUAAAAAAGUGUAACCUUUAUUAUUGUAUGUAAUUCUUAUCAUUACAUUUUAUUCAUAAUGCAUUUAAAAUUUUAUAUAGUGAAGUUAAAUUUAUAAAAAUAUUCUAAAAAACAUAAAAAAAAGUGUUAUUAAAAAUAUUUUUAGUAGCACAUUUUAAAAGUGUGCUGUUUUAAGUUAAAUUUGUUGUAAUGUUACAUUUUUUCAUACAUCUUUAUAACUCUAUGAAAUUCACACAAAAAAACUAAUCUCUUACAUAGAGAUUACAUCUUUCUCUCUCAUAAGUUCAAAAAGCUAGGACUUAGAACAUAUUUAUAGAGCAAUACUGCUUUGACACUAAGAAUUUCUAUCCAUUAAAUAUAUUAAUCCUUUAAAUAAAUUCAAUUACCAAGUAAUUCUCAAUUAAUAGAAUUCCACGUAAAUCCAAAUUGAUUUUCAAUUAAAAUUUGAGUCAAAUAUCUAAUAAAUCUCAACCUUGACACAAAUUGUAUCAUUUGACGAAAUCUGGACUACACAUAAAGGAAUCAAUCCUGACUUCACCUAAUUCACACGACAAGAUCAAUACCCAUUUGUAGACACCAAGACAACUUACCCUUGUUGGCUUCAUAGAGGAUCCUCAUCAAACUUCUCUCAACAGGAUUUGGCUUUCAUUUGAGUCUGCAACAGAGACCCUUUUUUUUUAAAAAAAAAAAAGCUUGGUGGUGUAUAUUAAUUCCAACAAGGUACAAAAUGGUGGUGUGAGUCUCUAGCCUACAAGAAAGGAAAGAGACUUGUUGCUGAAAAGAACUCCCUCGAUUAGACUGCCAAAAACACAACCAGAGUCCAUGUAUCUCAGCUGCAAAAUCUAUAACACAUAGCACUCUAAACUUUUCAAGCCAAUUCCCUGUGUCUGUCACAUCACCUGCAGCCCGUGGUCAUCAGUGUAUCACACAUACUCUAGACCAUGACAACCUACAGACAACCCGUGGCGAAUACCAGCUUCCCUAACCCGUCGGUACAAGCUCCAACCCUUCUAUAUUUACAGGGGUUCACUACCUCUUGCUGUGGGAUUCACUGCUUUCCAAUCGUGGCCAUCCCCUGUUUAGAUUGAACCUGCCUUACCCUGCCAAACAUAAUUCAGCACUUCUCUGCACAUAAAUUUUUUAGACAUCAACCUCACCACCAAGUAACGAAGAAUUCUCUUCAAACAAACCAAAACUUAUCCAUCAAAUACUUAAUCCACUACCAUAAGAACGGGUGUGGACAUUGAAACAGAAUACACAUUAAUACAUCACAUGCCUUCAGCAAGAGCUGUACCGCCUACCAGCACCAAAAACUCAGGACUCCUUACUAACAGUUGUAACACCUCAACACCAAAAUCUCAAUUCCAUGAUACUUAAAAGUUGUAGCGAAUCUCCUUUUACAUGUCUCCGAUCUCAUGAUCACAAUCUGCCGCAACAAACCUGUCGAAUCAUCAUCUUUGCAUCUCUGCUAGUGCAUCAUGAUCACAUCAUGAUAAUUCUCAAACCAUAGUUCUGAUACCACUUAUUGAGAUUUUUAAGAAGAAAUUUAUUCAACUUCAAGAUCAACAUAUAUAUAAAUAAAUCACACGAGAGAUCAUAUUUAACAUGGUUUGGCACCUGUUAUCUAAAUCGACGUACGAGAUAAAAAAGAUCCAUUAUGAAUAUAGAGAUUACAAAGAGUGCAAACACCGAAAAACAAAUACUAAACUUGAGUCUCGAAACAAACCUUGUUUCUAUACUCACUAGUGUUUAAACUCAUGUAAUACAAUGUUUUCUCACACUUUUUCUCACAUCCCUAAAGCUUUAUCAAAACCCUUACAGAAAACAUAUCUCUCACAUAGAGAUUACAUCUUUCUCUCUAAUAAGUUUUAAAGGCUACGACUUACUCUACAUUUAUCAAGCCUUAUUAUUUGGUCGCCAAGAAUUCCUAUCAAUUAAUAACGCUUAUUCAUGAAGUAUAUUUACCCUUUAAGUAAACAUAGUCACCAAAUAAUUUGCAACUAAUAGAACUUUACCGGAACCCAAACUGAUUCUCAAUAAGAAUUUGAGUCAAAUAUCUAACAUUUUCUUACCUUCUCAAAGUAAAAGAAUUUUUGUUUUGUAAUACGGUAGUGGUAUCUCAAGCUUUAUCGGGCCUAACUCCUUCUUGGUCAAUCUUAAAGGCAUAUUCUCUCAUAGCAGCUUGGUGCAUUUAGGAUUUUUUUUCCCGAAAUGUUUCCAGGAAGUAUCUAAUCCCGACUGAUAAGGAAAGGGCUACUCUCUUUACCAACUGUACUAACUUGUGUUGGUAAAAUAAUAGAUAAUUUUAUUACUGUAACAAUUUAGUAAGAAAAAUGGCUCUUACUAAUUUAAAUAAAAUUCUUUAAUAAAAUUCUUUAAGUAAAAAUUUUGUUCAGUUAUCCAAUAAAAUAAUAGUUUGUGAAAAUUAAUAACUCAAAUUAAAGAGCUAAAAAUUAGUAAAAAAAUAAGGCUAUAAUUAUUUUAAUUAAGAUUAAUCUUAAGUCAGUAUAUAACACGUGACUUGAUUUAUUGAAGAAUUUUAGGUACUCAAGGAAAACACUCCUACCUAAAUUUUAUCUUGAAAAGAAUAUUAUUUUUUCCUACUAUAAGAAGAUGAGAUAAAUAUUCGGUUCUCAACUCAACCACAUUUUGAUACCCUUCACUUUAUUUGAUUGAGAUCAAACAGGAACAAAUGGAAAAAUAAUGGUCCUCCAUCGGGUGCAAACAAACGUACAGAUGGCGGAUUAGCUAUCUCUAUCAGUGCUUGUCUUGAUAACGAAGCCGCCGUAGAUACCUCUGUAAGUAAUAAUCUACUUAAUUAUUUGCUUUUAUCUUUGUCUAUUAACUGCCGCAGUAUAUUUAUAAGACUUCAAAACGUCCAAGUAAUUUGAUUGCUAAUUAGUGCAUAUUCCUAAUAAUAAUAAUAAUGGGAUGAUUUACGUGGCUAUUCAUGAAUGCAGGCCUUUAAUGGGAAGAUGAAUGGUGCUCUGACCUACCUCUUGGCGGAGGUUCUGAAAAAACUUCCGGGCCCAACAUAUGGGGACCUAUUUGAUUUAAUCCAUGAGACCUUUGAUAACGUUAAUCAAGGAUGCCUUGUUAAUACAAGAAUCUUAAGGAGGCUCUUCGAUUACAGAUUAUCACAGGUCGGUUUCUCUCAAAAAACACUAACAAAUUAAUUCUUCAAAUUUCCCCCUCCAAUAUCCAUCUGGAGUUUUCAUCUGGUUUACCUUUUUUUCAAUGCAUAAACAUACAAAACAAUUCUCAGGAAGCCUAAAUAAUGGGAGAAUUCAAAUUGCCAAAAGUUUCUGAUUUAGGAUUAUUUUCAUUAUGGCUUAAUUAAUUAAUUGCUUCUUAUAUUUGAGGAACUGAUUUCGUUUCCUUUUUUGUGAUAUCUCAUGGAUAGACGCCACUUCUUUCGUCUUCUCAUGAGUUUGAUGUUUACAAAAAGCAUUUGUUCUUGUAAGAGGCCACAUACUUGUGGAACUGAAGGGUGCCAAUAACAAGCGAGUCUACGCGGUAAUAGAUACCUGCGAUGACAUCCAGAGCUGUAAGCAUACGUGCAGGAAGUAUGUAAGCAAAGCAAUAAGGAGUAAAUUUGAGUUUUCGCCACCCAAUUCAGAGCUAUGAAAUCUUUAAACAAUAAACCUGGAGAAAAUAAAAGCUCAUUUGUGGGUGGCCAUCCAGAUGUGUGCCUAAUACAUUUAAUCUGACUUUGGAUUUUGUGUAAUAUCAAAUGCAUCGAAAAUAAUGAAUGUUGUAAAGUGUUGGGAUGAGAAAUUCAUCGUCUCUGUUUAUAUAAUUGCACUCAGCUAAUCUGAUAAAUCAUUUCUUUCUCACUUGGCAAAUGAAAAAGGAAAAGUAUAAUAGAACAUGCAUCCUAAGCUGGUACUUAAGGUCAUAAAGUAUAUAUAUCUAUCAAAUUAAGCCUUGGGAAUAGGGACUUUUCCACGGACAUAUCAAUUGCCAAGCAUAAAAUGCUCUUUACUAUGACACAUGCGUCUGUGACUGACAAGGAGAUCUGCCAACAGAAGAAGAAACUUUAUUCUUUACUCGUCACGUGGACGAUUCCAAAUUGCUUUUGCAAUUUCAACGUUCCUUGGAUUUUGAUUGAAAACUAAAUUCAUGUAUUUGGGGAUUGGGAGUGGAAAAUUCAUUUGAGAAUGCCUGGCAUUCGUCGUAGCCAUGGGAAACGCAUAUGGUGCGACGACUGAUUUGCAUAAAUUUAAAUGAUUUUAAAAAGGGGGCAAAAACAAAGAGAAUUUCUGACAAAGAUUCGCACGAUUGAUCGGACAAGACAAGUUAUUCCCCAAGUGGCAAAUGGUGUCCAAAUUGGAAAUUUGAAUGGAAGAAGCAUGCUACUCUCUUCUUUUGUCAAAGGUAUAGCAAUCAUGAUGAGUGGCCAUACAACUUUAUCGUCAAUGAUCAGGGUUUUUUUCUCCAUUAAUUCUUUUUAGAAAUUCUAUUGCACUGAAUUUCAAGAGUCUUGCGAUUGUUGAUUGGAAAUUAAAUGUAUCGUAUAAAUUGGGAAUAUAAGAUAAUAUUAAUAUAAUUUAAAGAUGGUAUAUGAUUUGAGAAUCUAAUUCUUAAGAAAAAAAAGUUAACCUUCUGGUUGAUUUGGAAUGUAAUUAAGACUCACAAGAAUAAUGGUUAAUUAAAGAAAGGGCUCACACAAUUAGCCACAACAUUCAUACACCUAAAUUAUGAUUAGAGGUUACUUUUGUAUACCGACUAUUGAAGUGAUGAUCAGAUUAAACAUCCUGUAUAGAUUCCUAAGACCCAACAGGACGAAUCUGAUUAAUAUUCUCUUCCAGUUCCUUGUAUCAUUAAUUUGUCAUGAUCUUAGCAUUUUUGGUCACCACUUAAGAUGGUAAUUUUUCUUUUUUGGUUUUUCCCUUUCCACUGGGAAAGAACAAAAAUUGAUUGUUCAUUCCAAUAUAAGAAAGCUUGUGACCGAUACUCACAUUGUACAUUGAAUAAUAGUAAAAGAAAGAGAAGUGUUAUUUUCCGAAGAAAGGUCGGAAAGUAAAAAGGAUACCAGAAGUCAAGAAUGACAUACCACGGAUAAAAUUAAAAGAAGGAUCAUAGUCUAGAUGUAGCCCAAAAAGAGGGAUGGAGAUAUUUGAUACCCUAGAAGUGAUGGUCCCUCAUCUCAAGUAGAUUCAUGUGUAGGGAUCUUUAGUUUUGUGAAUAAUAAUGUUUAGUUCUUAUAUACCCAGAAACAAAAAACAUGUUUAGUCUAGCUUCCCAGGCAUUCACCAGUUUUUCAAAAUAAAACAAUUGAUUAAAUUAAUUUGACAUUAGUGCCAAACUUUCUGGCAGGACUUAGGAAACAAAACUUCUCAAGUUACUUGUUUCGGAAUGAAGAGUUAUCCGGACUAAACAUAACUCCAUGAAGAUUUCUCAGAAGCAAAUCCAAAAAGUUUGACAGUAGAGAGACCAUAAUUCAAUCUCCUUUUAUCAUUACUGGAAUUGAUUUGUAGUUAUUGUUAGUGACACAACAACCUAGAGAUUAACAGGCCUCACAUGAUUAUGUUUAUGAUACAUGAGGAACCGUGCUUAAUUAAAAAAACAGUAAUUAAUAUUGAAGAACCCGAGGUACUCGUAAGUCAGCUCAAUUCUGUGAUGUAUUUCACAAAUUUCAGUCUAACAAGCUUGAGUUUCUCUCUCGAGAUGUUACCAUUAUCCAGUCUGGCUCUGUUUCGAAGAUCACAAUGGAUUACGAUCAAGUUGAUUUGACCAGAAAACUAGCAGACCACGACGAAUCUUAUCUGCAUACACAGGUGCAAAGAUAUUUAUUCCACUAAAGAAAAAAAGAAGCUGAAUCUGGUUCUCCACCAAUUUCCUUUCGGGAUCGAAUAUGUCUAAGAUCAUGAGAAGAUAAAUCUAGCUUACUCACCAGUCCUUUCACUAUUUCCACUCCACCCUUAAGGCCUUAAAUCUUCUUUUCUAUUGGAGAAACCAAUUGCCGUACUUUCAGAAACCACAAGCAGAGGCAAUGGCAAGAAGAGAACGAUGCAGUGGAUGUGGGCUGUACCUGCUGGUUCCACCAGAGGCACAAACUAUCCGUUGUGCCGUCUGCCAAGCCAUUACCAAUACCAACACGCAAGUUACCAGCAACAUUCGGCCCAAUGGCCAUUGGGGUCAUGUCCAUGACUCAUUUAUAGGACCAGGGUGGACCAGGUUUUCUUUCCUUUUUUUAAUUAGUCUUAUGCUUGUUUGUUACAGUCAGAUUGUUGACACAGUGUCCGGCUAAGUUAACAUGUGGCUGGCUUGGUUAUGAUAGCUAUCCUGGAGCAGGGACAUAUGGAAUUCCCUAUGUGUAUGCUCCUCAUCAGCGGCCUCCGCAGCCAACACCUUCUCUAUCUCCUGUUCCAGUGCACGGAAGGAAAAGGGCACUUCUUUGCGGAGUAAAUUACCAUGGCAAGAGUUACAGGCUCAAAGGAAGCAUCAACGAUGUCAAGUGUAUGAAGUACCUUCUUGUAGAGAAACUGGGGUUUCCUAAUGACUCCAUACUCAUGCUCACAGGUGGCGUACCUUUUUCUUUUUUUUUUUUCAACUCUUUUUCUUGUAAUCCAUGUUGCGUUAAGUUGAUUAGUUGAGUAGAUAACAACUAAAAAUUUUGAUCGGGAAAAGCUCAGUUGCAAACAAGUGAUAGUUCCUGCAAUAUUUCCCCGUUAGCAGUCAGGUUUAUUUGAUGGAAAAUUUUAAGCUAAUAAUAACCAGAUAUUUAUAAGCUAAUGAAAGCAGGAGUAACUACUAGAAAUUUAGUUUUUGGAAAUUGGAAUUUUCAAAAAAAAGAUGGCAAUAAAGUCAGGCGUUAUGAUAACCCUUAGGUAUAACUGUGGAAAAAUUAGAUUUGCUAUGGCAAACAAUUAUCCUCAGGCUUAAACCCGCAAGAUUUUUUUUAUUAUUAUCAUUAAAAAAUAGGCAGUAUUUAGGAAGAAAGGAGCCCGAAGCAGGUCCCAUAAAUUCCAUAUUAUUUAUGUUAACUCUGCUUAAAUCGAUCUGCAGAAGAUGAGACAGAUCGUUUCAAGAUCCCAACAAAACAGAACAUCCGAAAAGCCCUGAGAUGGCUGGUCUAUGGUUGCCAGUCAGGGGACUCGUUAGUGUUUCACUUCUCUGGCCAUGGCGCGCGCCAACUUGAUUAUAACCAUGACGAGGUUGAUGGGUACGAUGAAGCCUUGUGCCCUCUCGAUCAUGAGACCGAAGGGAAUAUAAUCGAUGAUGAAAUAAAUGACACCAUUGUAAGGCCACUGCCUCGAGGAGCCACACUGCAUGCAAUCGUUGAUGCCUGCUACAGCGGAACUGUUCUUGAUCUGCCCUAUGUUUGCAGGAUGAACAAGUUAGUUAUUUGCAAAAUUUCUUUGCUUGAGCUAUUAAUCAAUUUAAUCUUUAUUUGUCAUGCUUCACUAAUAUGCAGUCCAUCAUUGUCUUAUACAAACUUACUUCUUCCAGAAUACCCGGUUCAUAUUUUCUUUUACAUUUCGUUUUUAAUUAUGUAGGGAAGGGUUCUAUAUAUGGGAAGAUCAGAGAAACCCUUUAUUUUACAAGGGUACAAGUGGUGGACUAGCCUUCUGUUUUAGUGCUUGUGAUGAUAAUCAAAUCUCUACGGAUACCACUGUGAGUUACUCUUUUAUCAGGUUUACCUGAUAAAAGGAUCUAAUCAGGUUUCAUCAAUUUAUGGUUAAGUUGGGAGAAGGGAAUUCGAAUUUGGAACCUUCCUUUUGAAAGUGUGAAUAGUUAAAAAUGAAGUUAAGCCCCAGGCCCUCAGCUGCAAUUAGGAAUUAAACAUUAUAACAAGAAAGAAGUAGAAAAAUGAAAAGAAUAUUGUUUUAUCUCUUUAAUACAUAAAAGUUAACUAAUAUCAAUUAGCUUAGAUUGUUGUUUAAAUUGUUUUCUUGUAGGCUUUCACUGGAACAAAUACCAGGACCGGUGCCAUGACAUUCAGCUUCAUCCAAGCUGUGCAAAAUGAGCCUCGAUUAACGUAUGGCCGCUUGCUUAAUGCAAUGCGCAAUGCGAUUCGUGAUGUUAAAGCUGGUUUACGCCUAAAUGGUCCGAUUGCAGCUCUCAUUAAUAAAGUAUUGUUUGGAACAACAACACAGGUAUUCUUCUUUACCUAAUUUGAUAAACACUAUGACAGUUGAAUAAUAAUAUCCUUGCCAAGUAAACGAAAUGAAUUCUUGAUUCGCAGGAGCCACAGCUAUCUUCAUCCGAGAAAUUCGAUAUCUACUCAAAGCAGUUUGUGCUGUAGUAAUUUCCGUUGUCUUUCAUAAUUGUUUUUGACUAUUUGGCUCUGUAAUCAUUAAAAAUUAAAAUGAUUAUAAGUAACUUCUUUUGCAUACUUUUAUUUGGUAUUUAAUAUUCGUAACCUUGUAAAAAGAAACCUCUCACAGUAGCUAGAUCCCACGACUGCAUGGGACUAGCUAAUAUUUUCCAGUUCUCUUUGAUGUUAAAUCCGAUCAUAUGAUACAAGAAAAAGAUUUGUAGAAGGAAGAAUCAUAACAUUUAACAGGUUCCUAUUCUUGCAUACAAUACACAAGAAAUAUUCUGGUUAAUAUCUUCAACGGAGGAGCAAGAGCUUGCGAGAAGUGGUACACCAGCGAGCAUAUGAUUCAUGGAGGUUGGGCCAGUCGGAGGAUGGUGAAUGUGUGAAGUGGUGAAGCCACAAGGAGAGUACUUGCUCUUGCUCCUCUUGUUCUAGCAUUUCAAUGGUCUCCUCCAAUAACUUCUCUAGUUCAGCUCUUUCACUUAUGCUGAGCACUGGUGCAUCGGUGCCAUUGCUAGCUCUGCAGAGCAAUGGCAACCAUGAUGUUAGCAUCUUCAGCUUCGUUUGCCUGAGGUUCUCUUUGUUGCCUUCUUCAGUCUCUUCCACUUCCAGGCCCAUAUCCUUGGCUUGUUUGAACAAGAAUGCUGCAUAUUUGAAUAAUUAAGCAAAAAUAAGGAACAAGAAUAGGAGUAUAUGUUCAGAUAAAUCCAAGAGACUUUUUUAUACUGAAACAUAUUUGUCUUGAAUAAAUAACUGUGGCAAUUAAAAGUUUCAACUAGAACCUCCCAAAUAUCCAUUUAUCAAAUCACAACCUUUCUUUUGAGUCCUCAUAUUCUGUUGAAAUAUUAAAAUGGUAACUCUGUCAAAGCAUGAUCUUUACUGUUAUCACUUAACAAAUAUGUAUAAUUAGUAUGUUGCAGAUAUUUGGAGUCAAAGUCAUGGAUUUUAAAUUUGCUAGCUUAAGACUACUUAUUCAGCAAUUCCUCUUCAAAAAUUAGAAAAUGUUCGGUUAUAAAGGCAUAUACUAACCCAAGAUAUGCAAGCAGUCUGUUAGAGACCCCAUACACAACCUCUUUAUAUUUGUUAGGAUAGUUUUGAAUUGUAGUUUGAUUAGAAUUAUUUAAUUCUAAUUAAACUAAUAUAUCUUUUUGAGACAAUAUUUAAAUCUAGUUAGACUAGUAUAACUUAACUUAAUUGUAUUAAGAUAAGAUUAUUAUACUUGACCUUAUAAAAUGAUGCUAUGAGGUUAAAGAAUAGUCAUCAUUUAAAUUUAGAAAGAGUGAAUUGAGUGUACGUGAGAUAAAGGUUGUGAGUUUGAGAUUGUUCUCAUAAUUUCUUGAUUUUUCUCUCAGUAGAUCUUUCUCUGUUGAUGUGCCCAUAGACAUAAGCCAUCAAAAGACCGAACAACGUAAAUUCUUGUAUUCUUGUGGGUGUGCUUGAUUUCUUUCUUUCUUUAUUCUAUUAAUUGGGUAAGAUCUUAGGUAACUUUUUAGAGAUAAUUCCGCAAUUUUCACAACAAACGAGUAUGAGAGCUUUAAGGUCUUGAGUCAAUCUAAAUCUCGCGAUAGUAACUUUUCGACCAAUAUGAGAUUGAAAAGUUUAAUGGAAGAAACAGUUUCAGCCAGUGGCAUGUUAAAAUGCACGCGUUCCUAGUGCAAUAAGGACUAUUGAAGGCAUUGAAGGAAAAAGGCUAUCUUUCCUCGAAUUUAUCUGAUGGUGAGAAAAAUAACCUUAUGAAAAAAGCACAUAGUGCUAUUCUCCUAACUUAGCCUGAUGAGGUGUUAAGAGAAGUCACGAAUGAAGAAUCUGCUGCUGUAGUGUGGCUUAAACUCGAGAGUAUUUAUAUGACCAAAUUCCUAACGAAUUAGCUUUUAUAUCAAGCAACGAUUGUAUACUCUUAAGAUAUGUGAAGGUACAUUCGUUAAUACCCACAUUGAUGAAUUUGAUAAAGUUAUUUUUUAUUUAAAGAAUAUCAAUGUUAAAAUUGAAGAUGAAGACCUAGUCCUAAUUCUUCUAUAUUUUUUUACCUCAAUCAUAUGAAAACUUCGUGGGUACUAUAUUAUAUGACCGAGAAACUCUCACUUUCAAGGAUGUAAGGGCAUCUUUAAAUUCCAAGGAAUUGAAAAAGAAGAAAGUUGGUGGUAUUAGAAAUGAAAAUUAAGCAAAAGGCUUAAUUGUGAAUAGAGGAAACGAUAACGAGAAAGGUCUAGACAGAAAAAGUAAAUUUAGAGCAAAAGGAAAAACUUGCUAAAAUUGUGGUAAAAAAGAACACUUUCAUCAAAACUGUACCAAAUUCAAGAAUGAUGAAAAAAUGAACAAGUCUGAAAAUACUGCAAACAUAGUUGAAGAUCAUUUUUAUACUUUUGAGGAAGUUGAUAGUGUUCUUGCAGUUACUAAUGGUAACUUAAAGGAUACAUAGAUCUUGGAUUUGGCUUGUUGCUUCUACAUAAGUUCUAAGAGUGAUUGGUUUACAACUUAUCAAUCUAUUGAUAUGGGCACUGUACAAUUAGGAGACAAUUUUUCUCUCUCAAUUGUUGGCAUUAGCACAAUUCGAAUCAAAAUGUUUAAUGGUAUAGUAAGGACACUUGAGGUGAAACAUGUUCUUGACAUGAAAAAGAAUUUGAUAUCCUUGAGUUUGUUAGAUAAGAAUGGCUACAAAUAUAGUGGCCAAGAUGGUGUCUUGAAGGUAUUUAAAUGAGCCUUAACUAUCAUGAAAGGUAAGUUAUCCGGUGGCCUUUAUCGUCUAGUGAGAAGCACGAUUAUUGAAACUACUUUUGUAAUCUCAUCCCAUGAUCCUAAUAAUGAUGUUACAUAUUUAUGGCAUAUGAGAUUGGAUCAUAUGAGCAAGAAAGGAAUGACAAAAUUGAAUAAGCAUGGUUUACUAUGAGGUCAAAAAACUAGAAAGUUAGAUUUCUGUGAGCAUUGCAUCUAUGAGAAGUAACAUCAAGUGAAAUUUAACACUGCUACACAUCGAACCAAGAGUAAAACAACACAUCUACUCAUAUUUGUGAGAUCUUUCUUCGAUGGCAUCAAAAGGUAGAUCAUUAUACAUGUAGACCUUUAUUGAUAAUUUUUCAAGAAAGGCGUUAUAGUAUUUUUCGAAGGCUAUGAGUGAAGUGUUGACCACCUUUUUGCAUUGGAAAGGAUCGAUCGAGAAGCAGACUAAGAAAAGGAUCAAGAGCUUUCGAACAAACAAUGGUUUGGAAUUUUGCAAAGGUGAGUUUGGUCUGUUUUGCAAGAAUGACAAAAUCGUUAGACAUCGCACUGUCGUCAAAACACCACAUCAAAACGAUGUUAUAGAAUGGAUGAAAAGAACACUUCCGGAAAGAGCAAAAUGCAUGCUCUCUAAUGUUAGUCUACCCAAAGUAUUUUAGACAGAAGCUAUCAACAUGGCUUGCUACUUGGUAAAUCGAUCUCCAUCAUCUGCAAUUGAAUUUAAGACUCCCGAGGAAGUUUGUUCUAGUAAGCUCGUUGAUUACUCUAUAUUGAGAGUAUUUGGUUGUCUUAUUUAUACUCAUGUGAGUGAUGGUAAACUUGAGUAGAGGGCGACGGAGUGCAUAUUCCUAGUCUAUGCAUAUGGGGUGAAGGGUUAUCGAUUAUGGUGUACUGAUUGUAAGUCCCUCAAGUUUGUGGUGAGUUAGGAUGUUACCUUUGACAAAUCUGCAUUACUUCAUGGGAUAAGUCUAGAAUUGUAAACACAUUAGACUAGGAAGUUGGCAAGUAUGUGGAGCUUGAAAUCAAUGCUCCUGGGAUAAUGCAAAAUGAUAAUGAAAUUGAGAAUGAGCCGUAAGAAGUACAAGAAUUGGUAUCUCAUAUACAAGAACGAAGCAUUAUUACAAGGAAUUCGAGAGUAUCUAAGAAGUAUGAUGAUUUCGUUACUUGUGUCAUUGGUGAUUUUGAUUCUUAUGUUUUAUUUGUGAAAGUGGAGAUUGAUAAGUCUUACUUUUAUUGUGAGGCAAUUACAUGUGUCGAGUCUUCUACGGAGAUAGAGUCUCUACACUAGGAUCAAAAUGUUCGCUUAGUAUAUGAAAGAGGUGUAAAUAGUAGUUAUAAUGUGAUUAGUUUCUCCAAUUUUGAUUUUACUAGUGAUCUAUGUAGUAAAAGAUCUCAAAUGGAGUAUGUGUUCACUCUCUUAGAGUCUAUAAUCAGUUGGAAAGCAAUUCUUCAAUUAGCCAUUGCUUUGUCAACAACCAAAGCUGAAUAUAUGGUUGUGACGAGGCAGUGAAUGAGGUUUUAUGACUCCGAGGCUUAGUUAGUGAUCUUGGUUUUGGACAAGCAUAUAAACUUGUGUUUUGUGAUGGUCAAAGUGCCAUACAUUUGACUAAAAAUCAAAUGUUUCAUCAGAAAACUAAUCACAUCCAAGUCAAGUGUAACUUUGUUCGAAAAAUUAUUUCUAGAUGUAAGAUUGUAGUGAAGAAAAUAGCUACAGUUGAAAAUUCAGUAAAUAUGGUAACUAAGUCAGUUUCUAGGAUCAAGUUCAAGCAUUGCUUAGAUUUGGUUGGUGUUCAUAGUGCUUAGGGCCCUUUAGGGCAUUCGCAGUGUCAACAGAGAUUGGUUCGUAAGGUAAGGCUUGGUGAAUUCAAUCCUAAGGUGGAGAUUUGUUAAGAUAGUCUUGAAUUGUAGUUUGAUUAGGAUUGUUUAAUUCUAAUUAAAUUUGUAUACCUUUUUGAGAUAGUCUUUAUGAUAACUUUGUUACAUAGAGUUAACAUAGGUUUUUCUUUUGAAGCAUGAAUUGCACUUAUUCUUUUAGUUUUCUGCCUAGUCUUUAGCCAAUUUUCAGGCUUUUUAGUAGAAGUUAACUUUUAGGGUGUCUAGAGUCAUUUAGACAAUUUGAGCUUCAUUUGUUUUGUCAAAAAUCCUCUCAAUGCAACUUUUGAUCAGUUAACCUUUUUGAUUUUUGAAGGAAUGGAAGUUGCAAGUGAAACUAAAAGUGAGGACCUCAACAACUCUGCACUAAGUGGCUUGAAGGAGGAAAACAGGGUAGCAGGAAGCUCAAGGUGGCAACAACAAAACUAUUCAGGCAGAGAGUUUCUCGCUGCAGCGAGAAACAGGGCAUUAAGAUAGCAGGGCAGUAGGAUUUUCUCUGUAGCGAGAAUCCAAUCUCGUUGCAGCGAAAUUGAAGAUGUCUUUUAAGGCCAAGUUAGCAGUACCUCGCUGCAGCAAGAUUCCAAACUCGUUGCAGCGAAAACAUGUCAGAAAGAAAAAAAAAAUAUUCUGGGCUCGAGAUCCUAGGUCAAGGUUGAAUGAAGAAGGGACUAUAAAUAGAAUUUUUGCACAGAAAAAGAGGCAGAUUCGGGGGAGACACUUUGGGCAAGAAGAGGCAGAAGCAAAAUGGGAAAGAGAAGAAGAUUCAAGGGCUGGAGCUUGUAAAGCUGCAACAAAACAUCUCNUUGGAGCUUGUAAAGCUGCAACAGAACAUCUCUCUCUCUCUAGAUUUGAAUCUUUCUCUCUCUAUCUCAUUUUGUAAAACAAUGCUUUUGUUUGUUGUAUUGGGUACUCUUCUUUGUGAAAUGUUGAGCUAAACUCAUUAUUCUAGGAUUAUGGUUAACUCUAUUAUGUAGUUUGGAUAUUGUUUGGUUGGUUGCCUAGUCUUAAUGCAAAUCUUGAUGUUUACUCAAAGUUUGAAUUGAUUGUCCUUUUAAUUGAUUGAUCACCGAUUAAAUGUGCUUAAGUAUUUAGAUGACACUUGAAAAAGUUAAUCUAAAUUAGACCUAGACUUGAGUAAGGUGUGUUUAAAACACUUAAAAAUGAAUUUUAGUGCUUUGAUGUGCAGUUAUGGUAGAAAUACAACUAAUUGCUACACUUAGUUAAUUUGGAAUUCUUUAGCUUAAAGAGCUUAAAUUAUUCGUCUCCUAUAGACAUAUAGCGAUGCAAAUGGAUUAAGCAAGUGUAUAAUACCUCGACGGAGGAUUACACAUAACUUAAGAUCCUAAACUAAUAUCAAAUUUCAUUGAGAUUAAAUAACUAACCAAGCCCAAUUCCAAAUGAAGUAUUAGAGGACACCAUAAUCCUAGAAUUUUGGAUCAUUGAUUCCAUUUUAAUUUAUCAAUUGCAUCACUUAUAGUAGACUUAGUUAAUUAGAUUACAUUUUUUAAUCAUAGUUCAAAAUUUGUUGCUUGGAUAAGGUUAGUUUGUGUUAAUUUUGGUAGUUAGCAUCAAAUAUUAGAUCAACUCCUUGAGGAUCGACAACUCACUCAUCACUUACUACUUGUUGCGACUGUGUACGCUUGCACGAAAUCUUUGUUUGCAAUUUGCAUUAAAUUUGAGCAUAUUCAUAUUGCAUAAGCAAAAGAGAUAGAUUUUUAUAAAAUUCAACACUUUAAAUCUAGUUAGACUAGUAUAACAUAUCUUAAUUGUAUUAAAAUAAGAUUAUUGUACUUGACCUUAUAACAGGAUCCUAUGCGAUAAAAGAAUAUUCAUCAUUUAGAUUUAGAGAGAGUGAUUUGAAUGUACAUGAUAUAAAGGUUAUAAGUUUGAAAUUGUUAUUGUAAUCUCUUGAAUUUUAUUUUAGUGGAUCUUUCUCUAUUACUAUACUCGUUGAUGUAAGUCAUUAAAAAACCAAACCAGGUAAAUUCUUGUAGAUGUAUUUAAUUUUUUUUAUUUUAUUGAUUGGGAAAAAUCUUGAAUAACUAUUUAAAGAUAAUUCUGUAAUUUUCACAAUACUAUAGGAGGAAAUGAUCAUUUAAAAUCAUCCUUCUCUCCAAUACUUUGCACUUGGAGCAAUGACUUCUAACCAAGGCAUGUCUAGUGCUGGUUGAAGACCUCGAAUGUGACAUUUCCUUAAGAAUGGUUUAUAAUUAGUAUAAAUUAAUUGACAAUUAAAAUUUUUUUUCCCACAGUGAUAAUUGGUUGUUUAAUAUUUUUAAUGUGCUUAAACGGUCAAGUAUGGGUGGCGGCACGUCAGCUCCACCUUGAGCUAGAUCUCAUGUAUGACAUUUCAUACCUAAACAACUGAAAUUUUGUUAUUAUAAACUAAUCAAAGUCUAUGGCAAGGCAUAAAGACGUAUUGUGCUACAGUAAAUUUAACUCCAAAUCCUAAGAAUGAGAAUAAUAUUUAAAAAGCAAUCAAGUUAAAAUGAGGCACAAGUCAUAGUCAUGAUUCAUGAGCUGAAAAUUGUAGGAGAAAGGACAAUACAGGACAAGUCGUGAAUUGCGAUGGAUGAGAAAAAAUGGACCAAAGGGAAUGAAGACCACCCUAAUAUUGGUCAAACAACAUUAACAAGGUGCGAAUUGGCGUAAAACAAACAAAGCGCUAGAAAGAAUAAGUCCUUCCUCGAAGAAUAUUCUUUAACCAUGAACCUGUCAGCAACAGCAUAGGUGGAGGUAAUUAAGGCUAAAGGCCUAGGCUUUUUACAAGUCUUUUACCUCCCUUUGGGGUAUCACCAUUUGUUAACCAUAUCGAUAUCAACAGGUGAAAGUUCAGCAACAAAAUUCUUGUCCAGUUCAUGCAGAAUCAGGCAACCACUCGAUUUAAAAGCAGAAUUUCAUGAAUUAUAUGCUAAUCACCCUUAUUGCUUAGUGAUAAUAUAUUUUAAAUUGAGAUUCUUAUUCAAAUCUGAAUCAAAUCGGGAGUGGGUAAAUUGAAUAGUAUCUAAGGAAAAACUAAAAAUUCCGAUUCAACCAAAGAUGGGAAAAGUACUGAUUUUAAAUAACAGAGGAAGUAGAAUGGGGAAACGUACCCGAAACCUUAACCAGGGAACAUUGAACCCUCGGCUCAGCUGAAAGAGAAAGCCAAGCCAUUUUUGAAGUUGACGCCCACCUCUCAACAGCCUCUUCCUCAAACCCACAAGCGGCUAACUUCUGUGCCAACCAAAGCAGCUCAGCAGCCAGCUUCUGAGCCGAAUUCCCUGACCGGUUCACAUCCUCUCUCCCCAUCCCCACCCUACUCCACACGCCAUCUCCAACCGAUCGAAUCGCCCGUAAAACCCUGUUCAACCGAUACCGAACCGGUCCAGGUUCCGGAGCAUCGAGACCAACCGUGUCUUGCCCCAAUUCAACCAUUGCAGCUUCAAGCUGUCUAAGAGUCCUCGCAAAAGCAGCUGACAAGACGGUACGGUUGACUUCACGCAAAGCUUCGACGUCUUCCUUACGGUUCUCUUCUAUAAGUCUUUCCGCUAAAGAUCGAACAAUUUCAUACUUUCUUGAGCUAACAGGAAUGUCAUUAACGAUAGAUAGUAGCUGUGAAAGCGCACGAGCGAUUCCCGAGUCGCCAACCCCAUAGGCUGCAGCCACGUAGCUAUGGUUCUGGGGGUGCUUAAACGUGUAAUCAUCGGCUUGAGGGUGUAAAGUAGAAGGGAUCAGAGAAGGAAGUAAGCGCAGAAAGAAUAGAAAAAAAGUGAUGACAACAGCACGAAUUAGUUCAAGUAGCUUGUAUUUUCCUGCUAAGUUCAAGAGGGAUUUGUCAGCAUAAAUAAAUAUAGAAGUUACCAUAUUUCUGAGUAGCAAAGGGGCUAUGGCAGUUGGCGAGUUUUCCAUUAUGCCCAUGUUUUUUCUUCUUUUGGUUUUCUUGGCUUAGUUCUAACUAUGGUCUUUUAGUUUUCCGUUUGCUAGUAUGAAUGGAAAGAGUUUUGAGAGGUUAAGAAAUGAUGAAGAAGGAAGGACGAAUUGGUG
rnacentral:lncRNA from 1 species